UCCUACAACCCUCCGCUCUACCAACUGAGCUAUCAGGGUGUUCUCUAGUCACAACUGCAGAAAACAUAGUGGCUGAGACAACACCCUAUGCCCACACAACUAUUGGAACCCAUAGUCAAUCAAAAGCCCAGCCUUACCUGCAGAACAAAGCUUUGCAGUUUGUACCCAACAGUCAUUGCCAGGGACCCAGAACUGAUAAUCAAGACUUUUAGGCUGGGUGAAUAAAAAAUUGAUGGUUGGAAAAUUAAGUUAUGUGUUUUUAAAUAUUGGAGGAGUUGACAGAUAAAGACAAGGCUUGGCUUUAUUUCAAUUUGACAUGCACAGGCUUGGAGCUGGAGUUGAACCAGCGACUUCAGGAUCACAGCAUUUCAGAUGAGAAACAUCCUACAGCCCUCCACUCUACCAACUGAGCUAUCAGGGUGUUCUCUAGUCACAAUUGCAGAAAACAUAGUGGCUGAGACAACACCCUAUGCCCACACAACUAUUGGAACCCAUAGUCAAUCAAAAGCCCAGCCCUACCUGCAGAACAAAGCUUUGCAGCUUGUACCCAACAGUCAUUGCCAGGGACCCAGAACUGAUAAUCAAGACUUUUAGGCUGGGUGAAUAAAAAAUUGAUGGUUGGAAAAUUAAGUUAUGUGGUUUGAAAUAUUGGAGGAGUUGACAGAUAAAGACAAGGCUUGGCUUUAUUUCAAUUUGACAUGCACAGGCUUGGAGCUGGAGUUGAACCGGCGACUUCAGGAUCACAGCGUUUCAGAUGAGGAACAUGCUACAGCCCUCCGCUCUACCAACUGAGCUAUCAGGGUGUUCUCUAGGCGCAAUCACAGAAAACAUAGUGGCUGAGACAACACCCUAUGCCCACACAACUAUUGGAACCCAUAGUCAAUCAAAAGCCCAGCCCUACCUGCAGAACAAAGCUUUGCAGUUUGUACCCAACAGUCAUUGCCAGGGACCCAGAACUGAUAAUCAAGGCUUUUAGGCUGGGUGAAUAAAAAAUUGAUGGUUGGAAAAUUAAGUUAUGUGGUUUGUGUUUUUAAAUAUUGGAGGAGUUGACAGAUAAAGACAAGGCUUGGCUUUAUUUCAAUUUGACAUGCACAGGCUUGGAGCUGGAGUUGAACCGGCGACUUCAGGAUCACAGCGUUUCAGAUGAGGAACAUCCUACAGCCCUCCGCUCUACCAACUGAGCUAUCAGGGUGUUCUCUAGUCACAAUUGCAGAAAACAUAGUGGCUGAGACAACACCCUAUGCCCACACAACUAUUGGAACCCAUAGUCAAUCAAAAGCCCAGCCCUACCUGCAGAACAAAGCUUUGCAGUUUGUACCCAACAGUCAUUGCCAGGGACCCAGAACUGAUAAUCAAGACUUUUAGGCUGGUUGAAUAAAAAAUUGAUGGUUGGAAAAUUAAGUUAUGUGGUUUUAAAUAUUGGAGGAGUUGACAGAUAAAGACAAGGCUUGGCUUUAUUUCAAUUUGACAUGCACAGGCUUGGAGCUGGAGUUGAACCGGCGACUUCAGGAUCACAGCGUUUCAGAUGAGGAACAUGCUACAGCCCUCCGCUCUACCAACUGAGCUAUCAGGGUGUUCUCUAGUCACAAUUGCAGAAAACAUAGUGGCUGAGACAACACCCUAUGCCCACACAACUAUUGGAACCCAUAGUCAAUCAAAAGCCCAGCCUUACCUGCAGAACAAAGCUUUGCAGUUUGUACCCAACAGUCAUUGCCAGGGACCCAGAACUGAUAAUCAAGACUUUUAGGCUGGGUGAAUAAAAAAUUGAUGGUUGGAAAAUUAAGUUAUGUGUUUUUAAAUAUUGGAGGAGUUGACAGAUAAAGACAAGGCUUGGCUUUAUUUCAAUUUGACAUGCACAGGCUUGGAGCUGGAGUUGAACCAGCGACUUCAGGAUCACAGCAUUUCAGAUGAGAGACAUCCUACAGCCCUCCACUCUACCAACUGAGCUAUCAGGAUGUUCUCUAGUCACAAUUGCAGAAAACAUAGUGGCUGAGACAACACCCUAUGCCCACACAACUAUUGGAACCCAUAGUCAAUCAAAAGCCCAGCCCUACCUGCAGAACAAAGCUUUGCAGCUUGUACCCAACAGUCAUUGCCAGGGACCCAGAACUGAUAAUCAAGACUUUUAGGCUGGGUGAAUAAAAAAUUGAUGGUUGGAAAAUUAAGUUAUGUGGUUUGAAAUAUUGGAGGAGUUGACAGAUAAAGACAAGGCUUGGCUUUAUUUCAAUUUGACAUGCACAGGCUUGGAGCUGGAGUUGAACCGGCGACUUCAGGAUCACAGCGUUUCAGAUGAGGAACAUCCUACAGCCCUCCGCUCUACCAACUGAGCUAUCAGGGUGUUCUCUAGUCACAAUUGCAGAAAACAUAGUGGCUGAGACAACACCCUAUGCCCACACAACUAUUGGAACCCAUAGUCAAUCAAAAGCCCAGCCCUACCUGCAGAACAAAGCUUUGCAGUUUGUACCCAACAGUCAUUGCCAGGGACCCAGAACUGAUAAUCAAGACUUUUAGGCUGGGUGAAUAAAAAACUGAUGGUUGGAAAAUUAAGUUAUGUUGUUUGUGUUUUUAAAUAUUGGAGGAGUUGACAGAUAAAGACAAGGCUUGGCUUUAUUUCAAUUUUAACAUGCAGAGGCUUGGAGCUGGAGUUGAACCGGCAACUUCAGGAUCACAGCGUUUCAGAUGAGGAACAUGCUACAGCCCUCCGCUCUACCAACUGAGCUAUCAGGGUGUUCUCUAGUCACAAUCGCAGAAAACAUAGUGGCUGAGACAACACCCUAUGCCCACACAACUAUUGGAACCCAUAGUCAAUCAAAAGCCCAGCCCUACCUGCAGAACAAAGCUUUGCAGUUUGUACCCAACAGUCAUUGCCAGGGACCCAGAACUGAUAAUCAAGACUUUUAGGCUGGGUGAAUAAAAAAUUGAUGGUUGGAAAAUUAAGUUAUGUGGUUUUAAAUAUUGGAGGAGUUGACAGAUAAAGACAAGGCUUGGCUUUAUUUCAAUUUGACAUGCACAGGCUUGGAGCUGGAGUUGAACCGGCGACUUCAGGAUCACAGCGUUUCAGAUGAGUAACAUCCUACAGCCCUCCGCUCUACCAACUGAGCUAUCAGGGUGUUCUCUAGUCACAAUUGCAGAAAACAUAGUGGCUGAGACAACAACCUAUGCCCACACAACUAUUGGAACCCAUAGUCAAUCAAAAGCCCAGCCCUACCUGCAGAACAAAGCUUUGCAGUUUGUACCCAACAGUCAUUGCCAGGGACCCAGAACUGAUAAUCAAGACUUUUAGGCUGGGUGAAUAAAAAACUGAUGGUUGGAAAAUUAAGUUAUGUUGUUUGUGUUUUUAAAUAUUGGAGGAGUUGACAGAUAAAGACAAGGCUUGGCUUUAUUUCAAUUUUAACAUGCACAGGCUUGGAGCUGGAGUUGAACCGGCGACUUCAGGAUCACAGCGUUUCAGAUGAGGAACAUGCUACAGCCCUCCGCUCUACCAACUGAGCUAUCAGGGUGUUCUCUAGUCACAAUUGCAGAAAACAUAGUGGCUGAGACAACACCCUAUGCCCACACAACUAUUGGAACCCAUAGUCAAUCAAAAGCCCAGUCCUACCUGCAGAACAAAGCUUUGCAGCUUGUACCCAACAGUCAUUGCCAGGGACCCAGAACUGAUAAUCAAGACUUUUAGGCUGGGUGAAUAAAAAACUGAUGGUUGGAAAAUUAAGUUAUGUGGUUUGUGUUUUUAAAUAUUGGAGGAGUUGACAGAUAAAGACAAGGCUUGGCUUUAUUUCAAUUUGACAUGGACAGGUUUGGAGCUGGAGUUGAACCGGCGACUUCAGGAUCACAGCAUUUCAGAUGAGGAACAUCCUACAGCCCUCCGCUCUACCAACUGAGCUAUCAGGGUGUUCUCUAGUCACAAUUGCAGAAAACAUAGUGGCUGAGACAACACCCUAUGCACACGCAACUAUUGGAACCCAUAGUCAAUCAAAAGCCCAGCCCUACCUGCAGAACAAAGCUUUGCAGUUUGUACCCAACAGUCAUUGCCAGGGACCCAGAACUGAUAAUCAAGACUUUUAGGCUGGGUGAAUAAAAAAUUGACUGUUGGAAAAUUAAGUUAUGUGGUUUGUGUUUUUAAAUAUUGGAGGAGUUGACAGAUAAAGACAAGGCUUGGCUUUAUUUCAAUUUGACAUGCACAGGCUUGGAGCUGGAGUUGAACCGGCGACUUCAGGAUCACAGCGUUUCAGAUGAGGAACAUCCUACAGCCCUCCGCUCUACCAACUGAGCUAUCAGGGUGUUCUCUAGUCACAAUUGCAGAAAACAUAGUGGCUGAGACAACACCCUAUGCCCACACAACUAUUGGAACCCAUAGUCAAUCAAAAGCCCAGCCCUACCUGCAGAACAAAGCUUUUCAGUUUGUACCCAACAGUCAUUGCCAGGGACCCAGAACUGAUAAUCAAGACUUUUAGGCUGGGUGAAUAAAAAAUUGACUGUUGGAAAAUUAAGUUAUGUGUUUUUAAAUAUUGGAGGAGUUGACAGAUAAAGACAAGGCUUGGCUUUAUUUCAAUUUGACAUGCACAGGCUUGGAGCUGGAGUUGAACCGGCGACUUCAGGAUCACAGCGUUUCAGAUGAGGAACAUCCUAGAGCUCUCCACUCUACCAACUGAGCUAUCAGGGUGUUCUCUAGUCACAAUUGCAGAAAACAUAGUGGCUGAGACAACACCCUAUGAUCACACAACUAUUGGAACCCAUAGUCAAUCAAAAGCCCAGCCCUACCUGCAGAACAAAGCUUUGCAGUUUGUACCCAACAGUCAUUGCCAGGGACCCAGAACUGAUAAUCAAGACUUUUAGGCUGGGUGAAUAAAAAAUUGAUGGUUGGAAAAUUAAGUUAUGUGUUUUAAAAUAUUGGAGGAGUUGACAGAUAAAGACAAGGCUUGGCCUUAUUUCAAUUUGACAUGCACAGGCUUGGAGCUGGAGUUGAACCGGCGACUUCAGGAUCACAGCGUUUCAGAUGAGAAACAUCCUACAGCCCUCCGCUCUACCAACUGAGCUAUCAGGGUGUUCUCUAGUCACAAUUGCAGAAAACAUAGUGGCUGAGACAACACCCUAUGCCCACACAACUAUUGGAACCCAUAGUCAAUCAAAAGCCCAGCCCUAGCUGCAGAACAAAGCUUUGCAGCUUGUACCCAACAGUCAUUGCCAGGGACCCAGAACUGAUAAUCAAGACUUUUAGGCUGGGUGAAUAAAAAAUUGAUGGUUGGAAAAUUAAGUUAUGUUUGUGGUUUUAAAUAUUGGAGGAGUUGACAGAUAAAGACAAGGCUUGGCUUUAUUUCAAUUUGACAUGCACAGGCUUGGAGCUGGAGUUGAACCGGCGACUUCAGGAUCACAGCGUUUCAGAUGAGGAACAUCCUACAGCCCUCCGCUCUACCAACUGAGCUAUCAGGGUGUUCUCUAGUCACAAUUGCAGAAAACAUAGUGGCUGAGACAACACCCUAUGCCCACACAACUAUUGGAACCCAUAGUCAAUCAAAAGCCCAGCCCUACCUGCAGAACAAAGCUUUGCAGUUUGUACCCAACAGUCAUUGCCAAGGACCCAUAACUGAUAAUCAAGACUUUCAGGCUGGGUGAAUAAAAAAUUGAUGGUUGGAAAAUUAAGUUAUGUGGUUUGUGUUUUUAAAUAUUGGAGGAGUUGACAGAUAAAGGCAAGGCUUGGCUUUAUUUCAAUUUGACAUGCACAGGCUUGGAGCUGGAGUUGAACCGGCGACUUCAGGAUCACAGCGUUUCAGAUGAGGAACAUCCUACAGCCGUCCGCUCUACCAACUGAGCUAUCAGGGUGUUCUCUAGCCACAAUUGCAGAAAACAUAGUGAUUGAGACAACACCCUAUGCCCACACAACUAUUGGAACCCAUAGUCAAUCAAAAGCCCAGCCCUACCUGCAGAACAAAGCUUUGCAGCUUGUACCCAACAGUCAUUGCCAGGGACCCAGAACUGAUAAUCAAGACUUUUAGGUUGGGUGAAUAAAAAACUGAUGGUUGGAAAAUUAAGUUAUGUUGUUUGUGUUUUUAAAUAUUGGAGGAGUUGACAGAUAAAGACAAGGCUUGGCUUUAUUUCAAUUUUAACAUGCACAGGCUUGGAGCUGGAGUUGAACCAGCGACUUCAGGAUGACAGCGUUUCAGAUGAGGAAUAUGCUACAGCCCUCCGCUCUACCAACUGAGCUAUCAGGGUGUUCUCUAGUCACAAUCGCAGAAAACAUAGUGGCUGAGACAACACCCUAUGCCCACACAACUAUUGGAACCCAUAGUCAAUCAAAAGCCCAGCCCUUCCUGCAGAACAAAGCUUUGCAGUUUGUACCCAACAGUCAUUGCCAGGGACCCAGAACUGAUAAUCAAGACUUUUAGGCUGGGUAAAUAAAAAAUUGACUGUUGGAAAAUUAAGUUAUGUGUUUUUAAAUAUUGGAGGAGUUGACAGAUAAAGACAAGGCUUGGCUUUAUUUCAAUUUGACAUGCACAGGCUUGGAGCUGGAGUUGGACCGGCGACUUCAGGAUCACAGCGUUUCAGAUGAGGAACAUCCUACAGCCCUCCGCUCUACCAACUGAGCUAUCAGGGUGUUCUCUAGUCACAAUUGCAGAAAACAUAGUGGCUGAGACAACACCCUAUGCCCACACAACUAUUGGAACCCAUAGUCAAUCAAAAGCCCAGCCCUACCUGCAGAACAAAGCUUUGCAGCUUGUACCCAACAGUCAUUGCCAGGGACCCAGAACUGAUAACCAAGACUUUUAGGCUGGGUGAAUAAAAAAUUGAUGGUUGGAAAAUUAAGUUAUGUGGUUUUAAAUAUUGGAGGAGUUGACAGAUAAAGACAAGGCUUGGCUUUAUUUCAAUUUGACAUGCACAGGCUUGGAGCUGGAGUUGAACCAGCGACUUCAGGAUCACAGCGUUUCAGAUGAGGAACAUCCUACAGCCCUCCGCUCUACCAACUGAGCUAUCAGGGUGUUCUCUAGUCACAAUCGCAGAAAACAGUGGCUGAGACAACACCCUAUGCCCACACAACUAUUGGAACCCAUAGUCAAUCAAAAGCCCAGCCCUACCUGCAGAACAAAGCUUUGCAGUUUGUACCCAACAGUCAUUGCCAGGGACCCAGAACUGAUAAUCAAGACUUUUAGGCUGGGUGAAUAAAAAAUUGACUGUUGGAAAAUUAAGUUAUGUGUUUUUAAAUAUUGGAGGAGUUGACAGAUAAAGACAAGGCUUGGCUUUAUUUCAAUUUGACAUGCACAGGCUUGGAGCUGGAGUUGAACCGGCGACUUCAGGAUCACAGCGUUUCAGAUGAGGAACAUCCUACAGCACUCCGCUCUACCAACUGAGCUAUCAGGGUGUUCUCUAGUCACAAUUGCAGAAAACAUAGUGGCUGAGACAACACCCUAUGCCCACACAACUAUUGGAACCCAUAGUCAAUCAAAAGCCCAGCCCUACCUGCAGAACAAAGCUUUGCAGUUUGUACCCAACAGUCAUUGCCAGGGACCCAGAACUGAUAAUCAAGACUUUUAGGCUGGGUGAAUAAAAAACUGAUGGUUGGAAAAUUAAGUUAUGUUGUUUGUGUUUUUAAAUAUUGGAGGAGUUGACAGAUAAAGACAAGGCUUGGCUUUAUUUCAAUUUUAACAUGCACAGGCUUGGAGCUGGAGUUGAACGAGCGACUUCAGGAUCACAGCGUUUCAGAUGAGGAACAUGCUACAGCGCUCCGCUCUACCAACUGAGCUAUCAGGGUGUUCUCUAGUCACAAUCGCAGAAAACAUAGUGGCUGGGACAACACCCUAUGCCCACACAACUAUUGGAACCCAUAGUCAAUCAAAAGCCCAGCCCUACCUGCAGAACAAAGCUUUGCAGUUUGUACCCAACAGUCAUUGCCAGGGACCCAGAACUGAUAAUCAAGACUUUUAGGCUGGGUGAAUAAAAAAUUGAUGGUUGGAAAAUUAAGUUAUGUGUUUUUAAAUAUUGGAGGAGUUGACAGAUAAAGACAAGGCUUGGCUUUAUUUCAAUUUGACAUGCACAGGCUUGGAGCUGGAGUUGAACCGGCGACUUCAGGAUCACAGCGUUUCAGAUGAGAAACAUCCUACAGCCCUCCGCUCUACCAACGGCGCUAUCAGGGUGUUCUCUAGUCACAAUUGCAGAAAACAUAGUGGCUGAGACAACACCCUAUGCCCACACAACUAUUGGAACCCAUAGUCAAUCAAAAGCCCAGCCCUACCUGCAGAACAAAGCUUUGCAGCUUGUACCCAACAGUCAUUGCCAGGGACCCAGAACUGAUAAUCAAGACUUUUAGGCUGGGUGAAUAAAAAACUGAUGGUUGGAAAAUUAAGUUAUGUGGUUUGUGUUUUUAAAUAUUGGAGGAGUUGACAGAUAAAGACAAGGCUUGGCUUUAUUUCAAUUUGACAUGCACAGGCUUGGAGCUGGAGUUGAACCGGCGACUUCAGGAUCACAGCGUUUCAGAUGAGGAACAUCCUACAGCACUCCGCUCUACCAACUGAGCUAUCAGGGUGUUCUCUAGUCACAAUUGCAGAAAACAUAGUGGCUGAGACAACACCCUAUGCCCACACAACUAUUGGAACCCAUAGUCAAUCAAAAGCCCAGCCCUACCUGCAGAACAAAGCUUUGCAGUUUGUACCCAACAGUCAUUGCCAGGGACCCAGAACUGAUAAUCAAGACUUUUAGGCUGGGUGAAUAAAAAACUGAUGGUUGGAAAAUUAAGUUAUGUGGUUUGUGGUUUUAAAUAUUGGAGGAGUUGACAGAUAAAGACAAGGCUUGGCUUUAUUUCAAUUUGACAUGCACAGGCUUGGAGCUGGAGUUGAACCGGCGACUUCAGGAUCACAGCGUUUCAGAUUAGGAACAUCCUACAGCCCUCCGCUCUACCAACUGAGCUAUCAGGGUGUUCUCUAGUCACAAUUGCAGAAAACAUAGUGGCUGAGACAACACCCUAUGCCCACACAACUAUUGGAACCCAUAGUCAAUCAAAAGCCCAGCCCUACCUGCAGAACAAAGCUUUGCAGUUUGUACCCAACAGUCAUUGCCAGGGACCCAGAACUGAUAAUCAAGACUUUUAGGCUGGGUGAAUAAAAAAUUGAUGGUUGGAAAAUUAAGUUAUGUGUUUUUAAAUAUUGGAGGAGUUGACAGAUAAAGACAAGGCUUGGCUUUAUUUCAAUUUGACAUGCACAGGCUUGGAGCUGGAGUUGAGCCGGCGACUUCAGGAUCACAGCGUUUCAGAUGAGGAACAUCCUACAGCUCUCCGCUCUACCAACUGAGCUAUCAGGGUGUUCUCUAGUCACAAUUGCAGAAAACAUAGUGGCUGAGACAACACCCUAUGCCCACACAACUAUUGGAACCCAUAGUCAAUCAAAAGCCCAGCCCUACCUGCAGAACAAAGCUUUGCAGCUUGUACCCAACAGUCAUUGCCAGGGACCCAGAACUGAUAAUCAAGACUUUUAGGCUGGGUGAAUAAAAAAAUUGAUGGUUGGAAAAUUAAGUUAUGUGGUUUGUGGUUUUAAAUAUUGGAGGAGUUGACAGAUAAAGACAAGGCUUGGCUUUAUUUCAAUUUGACAUGCACAGGCUUGGAGCUGGAGUUGAACCGGCGACUUCAGGAUCACAGCGUUUCAGAUGAGGAACAUCCUACAGCCCUCAGCUCUACCAACUGAGCUAUGAGGGUGUUCUCUAGACACAAUUGCAGAAAACAUAGUGGCUGAGACAACACCCUAUGCCCACACAACUAUUGGAACCCAUAGUCAAUCAAAAGCCCAGCCCUACCUGCAGAACAAAGCUUUGCAGCUUGUACCCAACAGUCAUUGCCAGGGACCCAGAACUGAUAAUCAAGACUUUUAGGCUGGGUGAAUAAAAAACUGAUGGUUGGAAAAUUAAGUUAUGUGGUUUGACAUAUUGGAGGAGUUGACAGAUAAAGACAAGGCUUGGCUUUAUUUCAAUUUGACAUGCACAGGCUUGGAGCUGGAGUUGAACCGGCGACUUCAGGAUCACAGCGUUUCAGAUGAGGAACAUCCUACAGCCCUCCGCUCUAACAACUGAGCUAUCAGGGUGUUCUCUAGUCACAAUUGCAGAAAACAUAGUGGCUGAGACAACACCCUAUGCCCACACAACUAUUGGAACCCAUAGUCAAUCAAAAGCCCAGCCCUACCUGCAGAACAAAGCUUUGCAGUUUGUACCCAACAGUCAUUGCCAGAGACCCAGAACUGAUAAUCAAGACUUUUAGGCUGGGUGAAUAAAAAAUUGAUGGUUGGAAAAUUAAGUUAUGUGGUUUUAAAUAUUGGAGGAGUUGACAGAUAAAGACAAGGCUUGGCUUUAUUUCAAUUUGACAUGCACAGGCUUGGAGCUGGAGUUGAACCGGCGACUUCAGGAUCACAGCGUUUCAGAUGAGGAACAUCCUACAGCCCUCCGCUCUACCAACUGAGCUAUCAGGGUGUUCUCUAGUCACAAUUGCAGAAAACAUAGUGGCUGAGACAACACCCUAUGCCCACACAACUAUUGGAACCCAUAGUCAAUCAAAAGCCCAGCCCUACCUGCAGAACAAAGCUUUGCAGUUUGUACCCAACAGUCAUUGCCAGGGACCCAGAACUGAUAAUCAUGACUUUUAGGCUGGGUGAAUAAAAAACUGAUGGUUGGAAAAUUAAGUUAUGUGGUUUGUGGUUUUAAAUAUUUGAGGAGUUGACAGAUAAAGACAAGGCUUGGCUUUAUUUCAAUUUGACAUGCACAGGCUUGGAGCUGGAGUUGAACCGGCGACUUCAGGAUCACAGCGUUUCAGAUGAGGAACAUCCUACAGCCCUCCGCUCUACCAACUGAGCUAUCAGGGUGUUCUCUAGUCACAAUUGCAGAAAACAUAGUGGCUGAGACAACACCCUAUGCCCACACAACUAUUGGAACCCAUAGUCAAUCAAAAGCCCAGCCCUACCUGCAGAACAAAGCUUUGCAGUUUGUACCCAACAGUCAUUGCAAGGGACCCAGAACUGAUAAUCAAGACUUUUAGGCUGGGUGAAUAAAAAAUUGAUGGUUGGAAAAUUAAGUUAUGUGGUUUGUGUUUUUAAAUAUUGGAGGAGUUGACAGAUAAAGACAAGGCUUGGCUUUAUUUCAAUUUGACAUGCACAGGCUUGGAGCUGGAGUUGAACCGGCGACUUCAGGAUCACAGCGUUUCAGAUGAGGAACAUCCUACAGCACUCCGCUCUACCAACUGAGCUAUCAGGGUGUUCUCUAGUCACAAUUGCAGAAAACAUAGUGGCUGAGACAACACCCUAUGCCCACACAACUAUUGGAACCCAUAGUCAAUCAAAAGCCCAGCCCUACCUGCAGAACAAAGCUUUGCAGUUUGUACCCAACAGUCAUUGCCAGGGACCCAGAACUGAUAAUCAAGACUUUUAGGCUGGGUGAAUAAAAAACUGAUGGUUGGAAAAUUAAGUUAUGUUGUUUGUGUUUUUAAGUAUUGGAGGAGUUGACAGAUAAAGACAAGGCUUGGCUUUAUUUCAAUUUUAACAUGCACAGGCUUGGAGCUGGAGUUGAACGAGCGACUUCAGGAUCACAGCGUUUCAGAUGAGGAACAUGCUACAGCGCUCCGCUCUACCAACUGAGCUAUCAGGGUGUUCUCUAGUCACAAUCGCAGAAAACAUAGUGGCUGGGACAACACCCUAUGCCCACACAACUAUUGGAACCCAUAGUCAAUCAAAAGCCCAGCCCUACCUGCAGAACAAAGCUUUGCAGUUUGUACCCAACAGUCAUUGCCAGGGACCCAGAACUGAUAAUCAAGACUUUUAGGCUGGGUGAAUAAAAAAUUGAUGGUUGGAAAAUUAAGUUAUGUGUUUUUAAAUAUUGGAGGAGUUGACAGAUAAAGACAAGGCUUGGCUUUAUUUCAAUUUGACAUGCACAGGCUUGGAGCUGGAGUUGAACCGGCGACUUCAGGAUCACAGCGUUUCAGAUGAGAAACAUCCUACAGCCCUCCGCUCUACCAACGGCGCUAUCAGGGUGUUCUCUAGUCACAAUUGCAGAAAACAUAGUGGCUGAGACAACACCCUAUGCCCACACAACUAUUGGAACCCAUAGUCAAUCAAAAGCCCAGCCCUACCUGCAGAACAAAGCUUUGCAGCUUGUACCCAACAGUCAUUGCCAGGGACCCAGAACUGAUAAUCAAGACUUUUAGGCUGGGUGAAUAAAAAACUGAUGGUUGGAAAAUUAAGUUAUGUGGUUUGUGUUUUUAAAUAUUGGAGGAGUUGACAGAUAAAGACAAGGCUUGGCUUUAUUUCAAUUUGACAUGCACAGGCUUGGAGCUGGAGUUGAACCGGCGACUUCAGGAUCACAGCGUUUCAGAUGAGGAACAUCCUACAGCCGUCCGCUCUACCAACUGAGCUAUCAGGGUGUUCUCUAGUCACAAUUGCAGAAAACAUAGUGGCUGAGACAACACCCUAUGCCCACACAACUAUUGGAACCCAUAGUCAAUCAAAAGCCCAGCCCUAGCUGCAGAACAAAGCUUUGCAGCUUGUACCCAACAGUCAUUGCCAGGGACCCAGAACUGAUAAUCAAGACUUUUAGGCUGGGUGAAUAAAAAAUUGAUGGUUGGAAAAUUAAGUUAUGUGGUUUGUGGUUUUAAAUAUUGGAGGAGUUGACAGAUAAAGACAAGGCUUGGCUUUAUUUCAAUUUGACAUGCACAGGCUUGGAGCUGGAGUUGAACCGGCGACUUCAGGAUCACAGCGUUUCAGAUGAGGAACAUCCUACAGCCCUCCGCUUUACCAACUGAGCUAUCAGGGUGUUCUGUAGUCACAAUUGCAGAAAACAUAGUGGCUGAGACAACACCCUAUGCCCACACAACUAUUGGAACCCAUAGUCAAUCAAAAGCCCAGCCCUACCUGCAGAACAAAGCUUUGCAGCUUGUACCCAACAGUCAUUGCCAGGGACCCAGAACUGAUAAUCAAGACUUUUAGGCUGGGUGAAUAAAAAACUGAUGGUUGGAAAAUUAAGUUAUGUGGUUUGUGUUUUUAAAUAUUGGAGGAGUUGACAGAUAAAGAGAAGGCUUGGCUUUAUUUCAAUUUGACAUGCACAGGCUUGGAGCUGGAGUUGAACUGGCGACUUCAGGAUCACAGCGUUUCAGAUGAGGAACAUCCUACAGCCCUCCGCUCUACCAACUGAGCUAUCAGGGUGUUCUCUAGUCACAAUUGCAGAAAACAUAGUGGCUGAGACAACACCCUAUGCCCACACAACUAUUGGAACCCAUAGUCAAUCAAAAGCCCAGCCCUACCUGCAGAACAAAGCUUUGCAGUUUGUACCCAACAGUCAUUGCCAGGGACCCAGAACUGAUAAUCAAGACUUUUAGGCUGGGUGAAUAAAAAACUGAUGGUUGGAAAAUUAAGUUAUGUGGUUUGUGGUUUUAAAUAUUGGAGGAGUUGACAGAUAAAGACAAGGCUUGGCUUUAUUUCAAUUUGACAUGCACAGGCUUGGAGCUGGAGUUGAACCGGCGACUUCAGGAUCACAGCGUUUCAGAUUAGGAACAUCCUACAGCCCUCCGCUCUACCAACUGAGCUAUCAGGGUGUUCUCUAGUCACAAUUGCAGAAAACAUAGUGGCUGAGACAACACCCUAUGCCCACACAACUAUUGGAACCCAUAGUCAAUCAAAAGCCCAGCCCUACCUGCAGAACAAAGCUUUGCAGUUUGUACCCAACAGUCAUUGCCAGGGACCCAGAACUGAUAAUCAAGACUUUUAGGCUGGGUGAAUAAAAAAUUGAUGGUUGGAAAAUUAAGUUAUGUGUUUUUAAAUAUUGGAGGAGUUGACAGAUAAAGACAAGGCUUGGCUUUAUUUCAAUUUGACAUGCACAGGCUUGGAGCUGGAGUUGAACCGGCGACUUCAGGAUCACAGCGUUUCAGAUGAGGAACAUCCUACAGCUCUCCGCUCUACCAACUGAGCUAUCAGGGUGUUCUCUAGUCACAAUUGCAGAAAACAUAGUGGCUGAGACAACACCCUAUGCCCACACAACUAUUGGAACCCAUAGUCAAUCAAAAGCCCAGCCCUACCUGCAGAACAAAGCUUUGCAGCUUGUACCCAACAGUCAUUGCCAGGGACCCAGAACUGAUAAUCAAGACUUUUAGGCUGGGUGAAUAAAAAAAUUGAUGGUUGGAAAAUUAAGUUAUGUGGUUUGUGGUUUUAAAUAUUGGAGGAGUUGACAGAUAAAGACAAGGCUUGGCUUUAUUUCAAUUUGACAUGCACAGGCUUGGAGCUGGAGUUGAACCGGCGACUUCAGGAUCACAGCGUUUCAGAUGAGGAACAUCCUACAGCCCUCAGCUCUACCAACUGAGCUAUCAGGGUGUUCUCUAGCCACAAUUGCAGAAAACAUAGUGGCUGAGACAACACCCUAUGCCCACACAACUAUUGGAACCCAUAGUCAAUCAAAAGCCCAGCCCUACCUGCAGAACAAAGCUUUGCAGCUUGUACCCAACAGUCAUUGCCAGGGACCCAGAACUGAUAAUCAAGACUUUUAGGCUGGGUGAAUAAAAAACUGAUGGUUGGAAAAUUAAGUUAUGUGGUUUGACAUAUUGGAGGAGUUGACAGAUAAAGACAAGGCUUGGCUUUAUUUCAAUUUGACAUGCACAGGCUUGGAGCUGGAGUUGAACCGGCGACUUCAGGAUCACAGCGUUUCAGAUGAGGAACAUCCUACAGCCCUCCGCUCUACCAACUGAGCUAUCAGGGUGUUCUCUAGUCACAAUUGCAGAAAACAUAGUGGCUGAGACAACACCCUAUGCCCACACAACUAUUGGAACCCAUAGUCAAUCAAAAGCCCAGCCCUACCUGCAGAACAAAGCUUUGCAGUUUGUACCCAACAGUCAUUGCCAGAGACCCAGAACUGAUAAUCAAGACUUUUAGGCUGGGUGAAUAAAAAAUUGAUGGUUGGAAAAUUAAGUUAUGUGGUUUUAAAUAUUGGAGGAGUUGACAGAUAAAGACAAGGCUUGGCUUUAUUUCAAUUUGACAUGCACAGGCUUGGAGCUGGAGUUGAACCGGCGACUUCAGGAUCACAGCGUUUCAGAUGAGGAACAUCCUACAGCCCUCCGCUCUACCAAGUGAGCUAUCAGGGUGUUCUCUAGUCACAAUUGCAGAAAACAUAGUGGCUGAGACAACACCCUAUGCCCACACAACUAUUGGAACCCAUAGUCAAUCAAAAGCCCAGCCCUACCUGCAGAACAAAGCUUUGCAGUUUGUACCCAACAGUCAUUGCCAGGGACCCAGAACUGAUAAUCAAGACUUUUAGGCUGGGUGAAUAAAAAAUUGAUGGUUGGAAAAUUAAGUUAUGUGGUUUGUGUUUUUAAAUAUUGGAGGAGUUGACAGAUAAAGACAAGGCUUGGCUUUAUUUCAAUUUGACAUGCACAGGCUUGGAGCUGGAGUUGAACCGGCAACUUCAGGAUCACAGCGUUUCAGAUGAGGAACAUCCUACAGCCCUCAGCUCUACCAACUGAGCUAUCAGGGUGUUCUCUAGCCACAAUUGCAGAAAACAUAGUGGCUGAGACAACACCCUAUGCCCACACAACUAUUGGAACCCAUAGUCAAUCAAAAGCCCAGCCCUACCUGCAGAACAAAGCUUUGCAGCUUGUACCCAACAGUCAUUGCCAGGGACUCAGAACUGAUAAUCAAGACUUUUAGGCUGGGUGAAUAAAAAACUGAUGGUUGGAAAAUUAAGUUAUGUGGUUUGUGGUUUUAAAUAUUGGAGGAGUUGACAGAUAAAGACAAGGCUUGGCUUUAUUUCAAUUUGACAUGCACAGGCUUGGAGCUGGAGUUGAACCGGCGACUUCAGGAUCACAGCGUUUCAGAUGAGGAACAUCCUACAGCCCUCCGCUCUACCAACUGAGCUAUCAGGGUGUUCUCUAGUCACAAUUGCAGAAAACAUAGUGGCUGAGACAACACCCUAUGCCCACACAACUAUUGGAACCCAUAGUCAAUCAAAAGCCCAGCCCUACCUGCAGAACAAAGCUUUGCAGUUUGUACCCAACAGUCAUUGCCAGGGACCCAGAACUGAUAAUCAAGACUUUUAGGCUGGGUGAAUAAAAAAUUGAUGGUUGGAAAAUUAAGUUAUGUGGUUUGUGUUUUUAAAUAUUGGAGGAGUUGACAGAUAAAGACAAGGCUUGGCUUUAUUUCAAUUUGACAUGCACAGGCUUGGAGCUGGAGUUGAACCAGCGACUUCAGGAUCACAGCGUUUCAGAUGAGGAACAUCCUACAGCCCUCCGCUCUACCAAGUGAGCUAUCAGGGUGUUCUCUAGUCACAAUUGCAGAAAACAUAGUGGCUGAGACAACACCCUAUGCCCACACAACUAUUGGAACCCAUAGUCAAUCAAAAGCCCAGCCCUACCUGCAGAACAAAGCUUUGCAGUUUGUACCCAACAGUCAUUGCCAGGGACCCAGAACUGAUAAUCAAGACUUUUAGGCUGGGUGAAUAAAAAAUUGAUGGUUGGAAAAUUAAGUUAUGUGGUUUGUGUUUUUAAAUAUUGGAGGAGUUGACAGAUAAAGACAAGGCUUGGCUUUAUUUCAAUUUGACAUGCACAGGCUUGGAGCUGGAGUUGAACCGGCGACUUCAGGAUCACAGCGUUUCAGAUGAGGAACAUCCUACAGGCCUCAGCUCUACCAACUGAGCUAUCAGGGUGUUCUCUAGCCACAAUUGCAGAAAACAUAGUGGCUGAGACAACACCCUAUGCCCACACAACUAUUGGAACCCAUAGUCAAUCAAAAGCCCAGCCCUACCUGCAGAACAAAGCUUUGCAGCUUGUACCCAACAGUCAUUGCCAGGGACCCAGAACUGAUAAUCAAGACUUUUAGGCUGGGUGAAUAAAAAACUGAUGGUUGGAAAAUUAAGUUAUGUGGUUUGUGGUUUUAAAUAUUGGAGGAGUUGACAGAUAAAGACAAGGCUUGGCUUUAUUUCAAUUUGACAUGCACAGGCUUGGAGCUGGAGUUGAACCGGCGACUUCAGGAUCACAGCGUUUCAGAUGAGGAACAUCCUACAGCUCUCCGCUCUACCAACUGAGCUAUCAGGGUGUUCUCUAGUCACAAUUGCAGAAAACAUAGUGGCUGAGACAACACCCUAUGCCCACACAACUAUUGGAACCCAUAGUCAAUCAAAAGCCCAGCCCUACCUGCAGAACAAAGCUUUGCAGUUUGUACCCAACAGUCAUUGCCAGGGACCCAGAACUGAUAAUCAAGACUUUUAGGCUGGUUGAAUAAAAAAUUGAUGGUUGGAAAAUUAAGUUAUGUGGUUUGUGUUUUUAAAUAUUGGAGGAGUUGACAGAUAAAGACAAGGCUUGGCUUUAUUUCAAUUUGACAUGCACAGGCUUGGAGCUGGAGUUGAACCGGCGACUUCAGGAUCACAGCGUUUCAGAUAAGGAACAUCCUACAGCCCUCCGCUCUACCAACUGAGCUAUCAGGGUGUUCUCUAGUCACAAUUGCAGAAAACAUAGUGGCUGAGACAACACCCUAUGCCCACACAACUAUUGGAACCCAUAGUCAAUCAAAAGCCCAGCCCUACCUGCAGAACAAAGCUUUGCAGUUUGUACCCAACAGUCAUUGCCAGGGACCCAGAACUGAUAAUCAAGACUUUUAGGCUGGUUGAAUAAAAAAUUGAUGGUUGGAAAAUUAAGUUAUGUGGUUUUAAAUAUUGGAGGAGUUGACAGAUAAAGACAAGGCUUGGCUUUAUUUCAAUUUGACAUGCACAGGCUUGGAGCUGGAGUUGAACCGGCGACUUCAGGAUCACAGCGUUUCAGAUGAGGAACAUCCUACAGCCCUCCGCUCUACCAACUGAGCUAUCAGGGUGUUCUCUAGUGACAAUUGAGAAAACAUAGUGGCUGAGACAACACCCUAUGCCCACACAACUAUUGGAACCCAUAGUCAAUCAAAAGCCCAGCCCUACCUGCAGAACAAAGCUUUGCAGUUUGUACCCAACAGUCAUUGCCAGGGACCCAGAACUGAUUAUCAAGACUUUUAGGCUGGGUGAAUAAAAAACUGAUGGUUGGAAAAUUAAGUUAUGUUGUUUGUGUUUUUAAACAUUGGAGGAGUUGACAGAUAAAGACAAGGCUUGGCUUUAUUUCAAUUUUAACAUGCACAGGCUUGGAGCUGGAGUUGAACCAGCGACUUCAGGAUCACAGCGUUUCAGAUGAGGAACAUGCUACAGCCCUCCGCUCUACCAACUGAGCUAUCAGGGUGUUCUCUAGUCACAAUCGCAGAAAACAUAGUGGCUGAGACAACACCCUAUGCCCACACAACUAUUGGAACCCAUAGUCAAUCAAAAGCCCAGCCCUACCUGCAGAACAAAGCUUUGCAGCUUGUACCCAACAGUCAUUGCCAGGGACCCAGAACUGAUAAUCAAGACUUUUAGGCUGGGUGAAUAAAAAAUUGAUGGUUGGAAAAUUAAGUUAUGUGGUUUUAAAUAUUGGAGGAGUUGACAGAUAAAGACAAGGCUUGGCUUUAUUUCAAUUUGACAUGCACAGGCUUGGAGCUGGAGUUGAACCGGCGACUUCAGGAUCACAGCGUUUCAGAUGAGGAACAUCCUACAGCCCUCCGCUCUACCAACUGAGCUAUCAGGGUGUUCUCUAGUCACAAUUGCAGAAAACAUAGUGGCUGAGACAACACCCUAUGCCCACACAACUAUUGGAACCCAUAGUCAAUCAAAAGCCCAGCCCUACCUGCAGAACAAAGCUUUGCAGUUUGUACCCAACAGUCAUUGCCAGGGACCCAGAACUGAUAAUCAAGACUUUUAGGCUGGGUGAAUAAAAAACUGAUGGUUGGAAAAUUAAGUUAUGUGGUUUGUGGUUUUAAAUAUUGGAGGAGUUGACAGAUAAAGACAAGGCUUGGCUUUAUUUCAAUUUGACAUGCACAGGCUUGGAGCUGGAGUUGAACCGGCGACUUCAGGAUCACAGCGUUUCAGAUGAGGAACAUCCUACAGCCCUCCGCUCUACCAACUGAGCUAUCAGGGUGUUCUCUAGUCACAAUUGCAGAAAACAUAGUGGCUGAGACAACACCCUAUGCCCACACAACUAUUGGAACCCAUAGUCAAUCAAAAGCCCAGCCCUACCUGCAGAACAAAGCUUUGCAGUUUGUACCCAACAGUCAUUGCCAGGGACCCAGAACUGAUAAUCAAGACUUUUAGGCUGGGUGAAUAAAAAAUUGAUGGUUGGAAAAUUAAGUUAUGUGGUUUGUGUUUUUAAAUAUUGGAGGAGUUGACAGAUAAAGACAAGGCUUGGCUUUAUUUCAAUUUGACAUGCACAGGCUUGGAGCUGGAGUUGAACCGGCGACUUCAGGAUCACAGCGUUUCAGAUGAGGAACAUCCUACAGCCCUCAGCUCUACCAACUGAGCUAUGAGGGUGUUCUCUAGCCACAAUUGCAGAAAACAUAGUGGCUGAGACAACACCCUAUGCCCACACAACUAUUGGAACCCAUAGUCAAUCAAAAGCCCAGCCCUACCUGCAGAACAAAGCUUUGCAGCUUGUACCCAACAGUCAUUGCCAGGGACCCAGAACUGAUAAUCAAGACUUUUAGGCUGGGUGAAUAAAAAACUGAUGGUUGGAAAAUUAAGUUAUGUGGUUUGUGGUUUUAAAUAUUGGAGGAGUUGACAGAUAAAGACAAGGCUUGGCUUUAUUUCAAUUUGACAUGCACAGGCUUGGAGCUGGAGUUGAACCGGCGACUUCAGGAUCACAGCGUUUCAGAUGAGGAACAUCCUACAGCCCUCCGCUCUACCAACUGAGCUAUCAGGGUGUUCUCUAGUCACAAUUGCAGAAAACAUAGUGGCUGAGACAACACCCUAUGCCCACACAACUAUUGGAACCCAUAGUCAAUCAAAAGCCCAGCCCUACCUGCAGAACAAAGCUUUGCAGUUUGUACCCAACAGUCAUUGCCAGGGACCCAGAACUGAUAAUCAAGACUUUUAGGCUGGGUGAAUAAAAAAUUGAUGGUUGGAAAAUUAAGUUAUGUGGUUUGUGUUUUUAAAUAUUGGAGGAGUUGACAGAUAAAGACAAGGGUUGGCUUUAUUUCAAUUUGACAUGCACAGGCUUGGAGCUGGAGUUGAACCGGCGACUUCAGGAUCACAGCGUUUCAGAUGAGGAACAUCCUACAGCCCUCAGCUCUACCAACUGAGCUAUCAGGGUGUUCUCUAGCCACAAUUGCAGAAAACAUAGUGGCUGAGACAACACCCUAUGCCCACACAACUAUUGGAACCCAUAGUCAAUCAAAAGCCCAGCCCUACCUGCAGAACAAAGCUUUGCAGCUUGUACCCAACAGUCAUUGCCAGGGACCCAGAACUGAUAAUCAAGACUUUUAGGCUGGGUGAAUAAAAAACUGAUGGUUGGAAAAUUAAGUUAUGUGGUUUGUGGUUUUAAAUAUUGGAGGAGUUGACAGAUAAAGAGAAGGCUUGGCUUUAUUUCAAUUUGACAUGCACAGGCUUGGAGCUGGAGUUGAACCGGCGACUUCAGGAUCACAGCGUUUCAGAUGAGGAACAUCCUACAGCUCUCCGCUCUACCAACUGAGCUAUCAGGGUGUUCUCUAGUCACAAUUGCAGAAAACAUAGUGGCUGAGACAACACCCUAUGCCCACACAACUAUUGGAACCCAUAGUCAAUCAAAAGCCCAGCCCUACCUGCAGAACAAAGCUUUGCAGUUUGUACCCAACAGUCAUUGCCAGGGACCCAGAACUGAUAAUCAAGACUUUUAGGCUGGUUGAAUAAAAAAUUGAUGGUUGGAAAAUUAAGUUAUGUGGUUUGUGUUUUUAAAUAUUGGAGGAGUUGACAGAUAAAGACAAGGCUUGGCUUUAUUUCAAUUUGACAUGCAGAGGGUUGGAGCUGGAGUUGAACCGGCGACUUCAGGAUCACAGCGUUUCAGAUGAGGAACAUCCUACAGCCCUCCGCUCUACCAACUGAGCUAUCAGGGUGUUCUCUGGUCACAAUUGCAGAAAACAUAGUGGCUGAGACAACACCCUAUGCCCACACAACUAUUGGAACCCAUAGUCAAUCAAAAGCCCAGCCCUACCUGCAGAACAAAGCUUUGCAGUUUGUACCCAACAGUCAUUGCCAGGGACCCAGAACUGAUAAUCAAGACUUUUAGGCUGGGUGAAUAAAAAAUUGAUGGUUGGAAAAUUAAGUUAUGUGGUUUGUGUUUUUAAAUAUUGGAGGAGUUGACAGAUAAAGACAAGGCUUGGCUUUAUUUCAAUUUGACAUGCACAGGCUUGGAGCUGGAGUUGAACCGGCGACUUCAGGAUCACAUCGUUUCAGAUGAGGAACAUCCUACAGCCCUCCGCUCUACCAACUGAGCUAUCAGGGUGUUCUCUAGUCACAAUUGCAGAAAACAUAGUGGCUGAGACAACACCCUAUGCCCACACAACUAUUGGAACCCAUAGUCAAUCAAAAGCCCAGCCCUACCUGCAGAACAAAGCUUUGCAGUUUGUACCCAACAGUCAUUGCCAAGGACCCAUAACUGAUAAUCAAGACUUUCAGGCUGGGUGAAUAAAAAAUUGACUGUUGGAAAAUUAAGUUAUGUGGUUUGUGUUUUUAAAUAUUGGAGGAGUUGACAGAUAAAGACAAAGCUUGGCUUUAUUUCAAUUUGACAUGCACAGGCUUGGAGCUGGAGUUGAACCGGCGACUUCAGGAUCACAGCGUUUCAGAUGAGGAACAUCCUACAGCCCUCCGCUCUACCAACUGAGCUAUCAGGGUGUUCUCUAGCCACAAUUGCAGAAAACAUAGUGGCUGAGACAACACCCUAUGCCCACACAACUAUUGGAACCCAUAGUCAAUCAAAAGCCCAGCCCUACCUGCAGAACAAAGCUUUGCAGCUUGUACCCAACAGUCAUUGCCAGGGACCCAGAACUGAUAAUCAAGACUUUUAGGCUGGGUGAAUAAAAAACUGAUGGUUGGAAAAUUAAGUUAUGUGGUUUGUGGUUUUAAAUAUUGGAGGAGUUGACAGAUAAAGACAAGGCUUGGCUUUAUUUCAAUUUGACAUGCACAGGCUUGGAGCUGGAGUUGAACCGGCGACUUCAGGAUCACAGCGUUUCAGAUGAGGAACAUCCUACAGCCCUCCGCUCUACCAACUGAGCUAUCAGGGUGUUCUCUUGUCACAAUUGCAGAAAACAUAGUGGCUGAGACAACACCCUAUGCCCACACAACUAUUGGAACCCAUAGUCAAUCAAAAGCCCAGCCCUACCUGCAGAACAAAGCUUUGCAGUUUGUACCCAACAGUCAUUGCCAGGGACCCAGAACUGAUAAUCAAGACUUUUAGGCUGGGUGAAUAAAAAAUUGAUGGUUGGAAAAUUAAGUUAUGUGGUUUAAAAUAUUGGAGGAGUUGACAGAUAAAGACAAGGCUUGGCUUUAUUUCAAUUUGACAUGCACAGGCUUGGAGCUGGAGUUGAACCGGCGACUUCAGGAUCGCAGCGUUUCAGAUGAGGAACAUCCUACAGCCCUCCGCUCUACCAACUGAGCUAUCAGGGUGUUCUCUAGUCACAAUUGCAGAAAAAAUAGUGGCUGAGACAACACCCUAUGCCCACACAACUAUUGGAACCCAUAGUCAAUCAAAAGCCCAGCCCUACCUGCAGAACAAAGCUUUGCAGUUUGUACCCAACAGUCAUUGCCAGGGACCCAGAACUGAUAAUCAAGACUUUUAGGCUGGGUGAAUAAAAAACUGAUGGUUGGAAAAUUAAGUUAUUUGGUUUGUGGUUUUAAAUAUUGGAGGAGUAGACAGAUAAAGACAAGGCUUGGCUUUAUUUCAAUUUUAACAUGCAAAGGCUUGGAGCUGGAGUUGAACCGGCGACUUCAGGAUCACAGCGUUUCAGAUGAGGAACAUCCUACAGCCCUCCGCUCUACCAACUGAGCUAUCAGGGUGUUCUCUAGUCACAAUCGCAGAAAACAUAGUGGCUGAGACAACACCCUAUGCCCACACAACUAUUGGAACCCAUAGUCAAUCAAAAGCCCAGCCCUACCUGCAGAACAAAGCUUUGCAGUUUGUACCCAACAGUCAUUGCCAGGGACCCAGAACUGAUAAUCAAGACUUUUAGGCUGGGUGAAUAAAAAAUUGAUGGUUGGAAAAUUAAGUUAUGUGGUUUUAAAUAUUGGAGGAGUUGACAGAUAAAGACAAGGCUUGGCUUUAUUUCAAUUUGACAUGCACAGGCUUGGAGCUGGAGUUGAACCGGCGACUUCAGGAUCGCAGCGUUUCAGAUGAGGAACAUCCUACAGCCCUCCGCUCUACCAACUGAGCUAUCAGGGUGUUCUCUAGUCACAAUUGCAGAAAACAUAGUGGCUGAGACAACACCCUAUGCCCACACAACUAUUGGAACCCAUAGUCAAUCAAAAGCCCAGCCCUACCUGCAGAACAAAGCUUUGCAGUUUGUACCCAACAGUCAUUGCCAGGGACCCAGAACUGAUAAUCAAGACUUUUAGGCUGGGUGAAUAAAAAACUGAUGGUUGGAAAAUUAAGUUAUUUGGUUUGUGGUUUUAAAUAUUGGAGGAGUAGACAGAUAAAGACAAGGCUUGGCUUUAUUUCAAUUUUAACAUGCAAAGGCUUGGAGCUGGAGUUGAACCGGCGACUUCAGGAUCACAGCGUUUCAGAUGAGGAACAUCCUACAGCCCUCCGCUCUACCAACUGAGCUAUCAGGGUGUUCUCUAGUCACAAUUGCAGAAAACAUAGUGGCUGAGACAACACCCUAUGCCCACACAACUAUUGGAACCCAUAGUCAAUCAAAAGCCCAGCCCUACCUGCAGAACAAAGCUUUGCAGUUUGUAACCAACAGUCAUUGCCAGGGACCCAGAACUGAUAAUCAAGACUUUUAGGCUGGGUGAAUAAAAAAUUGAUGGUUGGAAAAUUAAGUUAUGUGGUUUUAAAUAUUGGAGGAGUUGACAGAUAAAGACAAGGCUUGGCUUUAUUUCAAUUUGACAUGCACAGGCUUGGAGCUGGAGUUGAAACGGCGACUUCAGGAUCACAGCGUUUCAGAUGAGGAACAUCCUACAGCCCUCCGCUCUACCAACUGAGCUAUCAGGGUGUUCUCUAGUCACAAUCGCAGAAAACAUAGUGGCUGAGACAACACCCUAUGCCCACACAACUAUUGGAACCCAUAGUCAAUCAAAAGCCCAGCCCUACCUGCAGAACAAAGCUUUGCAGUUUGUACCCAACAGUCAUUGCCAGGGACCCAGAACUGAUAAUCAAGACUUUUAGGCUGGGUGAAUAAAAAAUUGAUGGUUGGAAAAUUAAGUUAUGUGGUUUUAAAUAUUGGAGGAGUUGACAGAUAAAGACAAGGCUUGGCUUUAUUUCAAUUUGACAUGCACAGGCUUGGAGCUGGAGUUGAACCGGCGACUUCAGGAUCGCAGCGUUUCAGAUGAGGAACAUCCUACAGCCCUCCGCUCUACCAACUGAGCUAUCAGGGUGUUCUCUAGUCACAAUUGCAGAAAACAUAGUGGCUGAGACAACACCCUAUGCCCACACAACUAUUGGAACCCAUAGUCAAUCAAAAGCCCAGCCCUACCUGCAGAACAAAGCUUUGCAGUUUGUACCCAACAGUCAUUGCCAGGGACCCAGAACUGAUAAUCAAGACUUUUAGGCUGGGUGAAUAAAAAACUGAUGGUUGGAAAAUUAAGUUAUUUGGUUUGUGGUUUUAAAUAUUGGAGGAGUAGACAGAUAAAGACAAGGCUUGGCUUUAUUUCAAUUUUAACAUGCAAAGGCUUGGAGCUGGAGUUGAACCGGCGACUUCAGGAUCACAGCGUUUCAGAUGAGGAACAUCCUACAGCCCUCCGCUCUACCAACUGAGCUAUCAGGGUGUUCUCUAGUCACAAUUGCAGAAAACAUAGUGGCUGAGACAACACCCUAUGCCCACACAACUAUUGGAACCCAUAGUCAAUCAAAAGCCCAGCCCUACCUGCAGAACAAAGCUUUGCAGUUUGUAACCAACAGUCAUUGCCAGGGACCCAGAACUGAUAAUCAAGACUUUUAGGCUGGGUGAAUAAAAAAUUGAUGGUUGGAAAAUUAAGUUAUGUGGUUUUAAAUAUUGGAGGAGUUGACAGAUAAAGACAAGGCUUGGCUUUAUUUCAAUUUGACAUGCACAGGCUUGGAGCUGGAGUUGAAACGGCGACUUCAGGAUCACAGCGUUUCAGAUGAGAAACAUCCUACAGCCCUCCGCUCUACCAACUGAGCUAUCAGGGUGUUCUCUAGUCACAAUUGCAGAAAACAUAGUGGCUGAGACAACACCCUAUGCCCACACAACUAUUGGAACCCAUAGUCAAUCAAAAGCCCAGCCCUACCCGCAGAACAAAGCUUUGCAGCUUGUACCCAACAGUCAUUGCCAGGGACCCAGAACUGAUAAUCAAGACUUUUAGGCUGGGUGAAUAAAAAAUUGAUGGUUGGAAAAUUAAGUUAUGUGGUUUGUGUUUUUAAAUAUUGGAGGAGUUGACAGAUAAAGACAAGGCUUGGCUUUAUUUCAAUUUGGCAUGCACAGGCUUGGAGCUGGAGUUGAACCGGAGACUUCAGGAUCACAGCGUUUCAGAUGAGGAACAUCCUACAGCUCUCCGCUCUACCAACUGAGCUAUAAGGGUGUUCUCUAGUCACAAUUGCAGAAAACAUAGUGGCUGAGACAACACCCUAUGCCCACACAACUAUUGGAACCCAUAGUCAAUCAAAAGCCCAGCCCUACCUGCAGAACAAAGCUUUGCAGUUUGUACCCAACAGUCAUUGCCAGGGACCCAGAACUGAUAAUCAAGACUUUUAGGCUGGUUGAAUAAAAAAUUGAUGGUUGGAAAAUUAAGUUAUGUGGUUUGUGUUUUUAAAUAUUGGAGGAGUUGACAGAUAAAGACAAGGCUUGGCUUUAUUUCAAUUUGACAUGCACAGGGUUGGAGCUGGAGUUGAACCGGCGACUUCAGGAUCACAGCGUUUCAGAUGAGGAACAUCCUACAGCCCUCCGCUCUACCAACUGAGCUAUCAGGGUGUUCUCUAGUCACAAUUGCAGAAAACAUAGUGGCUGAGACAACACCCUAUGCCCACACAACUAUUGGAACCCAUAGUCAAUCAAAAGCCCAGCCCUACCUGCAGAACAAAGCUUUGCAGUUUGUACCCAACAGUCAUUGCCAGGGACCCAGAACUGAUAAUCAAGACUUUUAGGCUGGGUGAAUAAAAAAUUGAUGGUUGGAAAAUUAAGUUAUGUGGUUUUAAAUAUUGGAGGAGUUGACAGAUAAAGACAAGGCUUGGCUUUAUUUCAAUUUGACAUGCACAGGCUUGGAGCUGGAGUUGAACCGGCGACUUCAGGAUCACAGCGUUUCAGAUGAGGAACAUCCUACAGCCCUCCGCUCUACCAACUGAGCUAUCAGGGUGUUCUCUAGUCACAAUUGCAGAAAACAUAGUGGCUGAGACAACACCCUAUGCCCACACAACUAUUGGAACCCAUAGUCAAUCAAAAGCCCAGCCCUACCUGCAGAACAAAGCUUUGCAGCUUGUACCCAACAGUCAUUGCCAGGGACCCAGAACUGAUAAUCAAGACUUUUAGGCUGGGUGAAUAAAAAAUUGAUGGUUGGAAAAUUAAGUUAUGUGGUUUGUGGUUUUAAAUAUUGGAGGAGUUGACAGAUAAAGACAAGGCUUGGCUUUAUUUCAAUUUGGCAUGCACAGGCUUGGAGCUGGAGUUGAACCGGCGACUUCAGGAUCACAGCGUUUCAGAUGAGGAACAUCCUACAGCCCUCCGCUCUACCAACUGAGCUAUCAGGGUGUUAUCUAGUCACAAUUGCAGAAAACAUAGUGGCUGAGACAACACCCUAUGCCCACACAACUAUUGGAACCCAUAGUCAAUCAAAAGCCCAGCCCUACCUGCAGAACAAAGCUUUGCAGUUUGUACCCAACAGUCAUUGCCAGGGACCCAGAACUGAUAAUCAAGACUUUUAGGCUGGGUGAAUAAAAAAAUUGAUGGUUGGAAAAUUAAGUUAUGUGUUUUUAAAUAUUGGAGGAGUUGACAGAUAAAGACAAGGCUUGGCUUUAUUUCAAUUUGACAUGCACAGGCUUGGAGCUGGAGUUGAACCGGCGACUUCAGGAUCACAGCGUUUCAGAUGAGGAACAUCCUACAGCCCUCCGCUCUACCAACUGAGCUAUCAGGGUGUUCUCUAGUCACAAUUGCAGAAAACAUAGUGGCUGAGACAACACCCUAUGCCCACACAACUAUUGGAACCCAUAGUCAAUCAAAAGCCCAGCCCUACCUGCAGAACAAAGCUUUGCAGUUUGUACCCAACAGUCAUUGCCAGGGACCCAGAACUGAUAAUCAAGACUUUUAGGCUGGGUGAAUAAAAAAUUGAUGGUUGGAAAAUUAAGUUAUGUGGUUUGAAAUAUUGGAGGAGUUGACAGAUAAAGACAAGGCUUGGCUUUAUUUCAAUUUGGCAUGCACAGGCUUGGAGCUGGAGUUGAACCGGCGACUUCAGGAUCACAGCGUUUCAGAUGAGGAACAUCCUACAGCCCUCCGCUCUACCAACUGAGCUAUCAGGGUGUUAUCUAGUCACAAUUGCAGAAAACAUAGUGGCUGAGACAACACCCUAUGCCCACACAACUAUUGGAACCCAUAGUCAAUCAAAAGCCCAGCCCUACCUGCAGAACAAAGCUUUGCAGUUUGUACCCAACAGUCAUUGCCAGGGACCCAGAACUGAUAAUCAAGACUUUUAGGCUGGGUGAAUAAAAAAUUGAUGGUUGGAAAAUUAAGUUAUGUGUUUUUAAAUAUUGGAGGAGUUGACAGAUAAAGACAAGGCUUGGCUUUAUUUCAAUUUGACAUGCACAGGCUUGGAGCUGUAGUUGAACCGGCGACUUGAGGAUCACAGCGUUUCAGAUGAGGAACAUCCUACAGCCCUCCGCUCUACCAACUGAGCUAUCAGGGUGUUCUCUAGUCACAAUUGCAGAAAACAUAGUGGCUGAGACAACACCCUAUGCCCACACAACUAUUGGAACCCAUAGUCAAUCAAAAGCCCAGCCCUACCUGCAGAACAAAGCUUUGCAGUUUGUACCCAACAGUCAUUGCCAAGGACCCAUAACUGAUAAUCAAGACUUUUAGGCUGGGUGAAUAAAAAAUUGAUGGUUGGAAAAUUAAGUUAUGUGGUUUGUGGUUUUUAAUAUUGGAGGAGUUGACAGAUAAAGACAAGGCUUGGCUUUAUUUCAAUUUGACAUGCACAGGCUUGGAGCUGGAGUUGAACCGGCGACUUCAGGAUCACAGCGUUUCAGAUGAGGAACAUCCUACAGCCGUCCGCUCUACCAACUGAGCUAUCAGGGUGUUCUCUAGUCACAAUUGCAGAAAACAUAGUGGCUGAGACAACACCCUAUGCCCACACAACUAUUGGAACCCAUAGUCAAUCAAAAGCCCAGCCCUACCUGCAGAACAAAGCUUUGCAGCUUGUACCCAACAGUCAUUGCCAGGGACCCAGAACUGAUAAUCAAGACUUUUAGGCUGGGUGAAUAAAAAAUUGAUGGUUGGAAAAUUAAGUUAUGUGGUUUUAAAUAUUGGAGGAGUUGACAGAUAAAGACAAGGCUUGGCUUUAUUUCAAUUUGACAUGCACAGGCUUGGAGUUGGAGUUGAACCGGCGACUUCAGGAUCACAGCGUUUCAGAUGAGGAACAUCCUACAGCCCUCCGCUCUACCAACUGAGCUAUCAGGGUGUUCUCUAGUCACAAUUGCAGAAAACAUAGUGGCUGAGACAACACCCUAUGCCCACACAACUAUUGGAACCCAUAGUCAAUCAAAAGCCCAGCCCUAGCUGCAGAACAAAGCUUUGCAGUUUGUACCCAACAGUCAUUGCCAGGGACCCAGAACUGAUAAUCAAGACUUUUAGGCUGGGUGAAUAAAAAAUUGAUGGUUGGAAAAUUAAGUUAUGUGUUUUUAAAUAUUGGAGGAGUUGACAGAUAAAGACAAGGCUUGGCUUUAUUUCAAUUUGACAUGCACAGGCUUGGAGCUGGAGUUGAACCGGCGACUUCAGGAUCACAGCGUUUCAGAUGAGGAACAUCCUACAGCCGUCCGCUCUACCAACUGAGCUAUCAGGGUGUUCUCUAGUCACAAUUGCAGAAAACAUAGUGGCUGAGACAACACCCUAUGCCCACACAACUAUUGGAACCCAUAGUCAAUCAAAAGCCCAGCCCUACCUGCAGAACAAAGCUUUGCAGUUUGUACCCAACAGUCAUUGCCAGGGAACCAGAACUGAUAAUCAAGACUUUUAGGCUGGGUGAAUAAAAAAUUGAUGGUUGGAAAAUUAAGUUAUGUGGUUUUAAAUAUUGGAGGAGUUGACAGAUAAAGACAAGGCUUGGCUUUAUUUCAAUUUGACAUGCACAGGCUUGGAGCUGGAGUUGAACCGGCGACUUCAGGAUCACAGCAUUUCAGAUGAGGAACAUCCUACAGCCCUCCGCUGUACCAACUGAGCUAUCAGGGUGUUCUCUAGUCACAAUUGAAGAAAACAUAGUGGCUGAGACAACACCCUAUGCCCACACAACUAUUGGAACCCAUAGUCAAUCAAAAACCCAGCCCUACCUGCAGAACAAAGCUUUGCAGUUUGUACCCAACAGUCAUUGCCAAGGACCCAUAACUGAUAAUCAAGACUUUUAGGCUGGGUGAAUAAAAAAUUGAUGGUUGGAAAAUUAAGUUAUGUGGUUUGUGGUUUUAAAUAUUGGAGGAGUUGACAGAUAAAGACAAGGCUUGGCUUUAUUUCAAUUUGACAUGCACAGCCUUGGAGCUGGAGUUGAACCGGCGACUUCAGGAUCACAGCGUUUCAGAUGAGGAACAUCCUACAGCCCUCCGCUCUACCAACUGAGCUAUCAGGGUGUUCUCUAGUCACAAUUGCAGAAAACAUAGUGGCUGAGACAACACCCUAUGCCCACACAACUAUUGGAACCCAUAGUCAAUCAAAAGCCCAGCCCUACCUGCAGAACAAAGCUUUGCAGUUUGUACCCAACAGUCAUUGCCAGGGACCCAGAACUGAUAAUCAAGACUUUUAGGCUGGUUGAAUAAAAAAUUGAUGGUUGGAAAAUUAAGUUAUGUGGUUUUAAAUAUUGGAGGAGUUGACAGAUAAAGACAAGGCUUGGCUUUAUUUCAAUUUGACAUGCACAGGCUUGGAGCUGGAGUUGAACCGGCGACUUCAGGAUCACAGCGUUUCAGAUGAGGAACAUCCUACAGCCCUCCGCUCUACCAACUGAGCUAUCAGGGUGUUCUCUAGUCACAAUUGCAGAAAACAUAGUGGCUGAGACAACACCCUAUGCCCACACAACUAUUGGAACCCAUAGUCAAUCAAAAGCCCAGCCCUACCUGCAGAACAAAGCUUUGCAGUUUGUACCCAACAGUCAUUGCCAGGGACCCAGAACUGAUAAUCAAGACUUUUAGGCUGGUUGAAUAAAAAAUUGAUGGUUGGAAAAUUAAGUUAUGUGGUUUUAAAUAUUGGAGGAGUUGACAGAUAAAGACAAGGCUUGGCUUUAUUUCAAUUUGACAUGCACAGGCUUGGAGCUGGAGUUGAACCGGCGACUUCAGGAUCACAGCGUUUCAGAUGAGGAACAUCCUACAGCCCUCCGCUCUACCAACUGAGCUAUCAGGGUGUUCUCUAGUCACAAUUGCAGAAAACAUAGUGGCUGAGACAACACCCUAUGCCCACACAACUAUUGGAACCCAUAGUCAAUCAAAAGCCCAGCCCUACCUGCAGAACAAAGCUUUGCAGUUUGUACCCAACAGUCAUUGCCAGGGACCCAGAACUGAUAAUCAAGACUUUUAGGCUGGGUGAAUAAAAAACUGAUGGUUGGAAAAUUAAGUUAUGUGGUUUGUAAUAUUGGAGGAGUUGACAAAUAAAGACAAGGCUUGGCUUUAUUUCAAUUUGGCAUGCACAGGCUUGGAGCUGGAGUUGAACCGGCGACUUCAGGAUCACAGCGUUUCAGAUGAGGAACAUCCUACAGCCCUCCGCUCUACCAACUGAGCUAUCAGGGUGUUAUCUAGUCACAAUUGCAGAAAACAUAGUGGCUGAGACAACACCCUAUGCCCACACAACUAUUGGAACCCAUAGUCAAUCAAAAGCCCAGCCCUACCUGCAGAACAAAGCUUUGCAGUUUGUACCCAACAGUCAUUGCCAGGGACCCAGAACUGAUAAUCAAGACUUUUAGGCUGGGUGAAUAAAAAAUUGAUGGUUGGAAAAUUAAGUUAUGUGUUUUUAAAUAUUGGAGGAGUUGACAGAUAAAGACAAGGCUUGGCUUUAUUUCAAUUUGACAUGCACAGGCUUGGAGCUGUAGUUGAACCGGCGACUUGAGGAUCACAGCGUUUCAGAUGAGGAACAUCCUACAGCCCUCCGCUCUACCAACUGAGCUAUCAGGGUGUUCUCUAGUCACAAUUGCAGAAAACAUAGUGGCUGAGACAACACCCUAUGCCCACACAACUAUUGGAACCCAUAGUCAAUUAAAAGCCCAGCCCUACCUGCAGAACAAAGCUUUGCAGUUUGUACCCAACAGUCAUUGCCAAGGACCCAUAACUGAUAAUCAAGACUUUUAGGCUGGGUGAAUAAAAAAUUGAUGGUUGGAAAAUUAAGUUAUGUGGUUUGUGGUUUUUAAUAUUGGAGGAGUUGACAGAUAAAGACAAGGCUUGGCUUUAUUUCAAUUUGACAUGCACAGGCUUGGAGCUGGAGUUGAACCGGCGACUUCAGGAUCACAGCGUUUCAGAUGAGGAACAUCCUACAGCCGUCCGCUCUACCAACUGAGCUAUCAGGGUGUUCUCUAGUCACAAUUGCAGAAAACAUAGUGGCUGAGACAACACCCUAUGCCCACACAACUAUUGGAACCCAUAGUCAAUCAAAAGCCCAGCCCUACCUGCAGAACAAAGCUUUGCAGCUUGUACCCAACAGUCAUUGCCAGGGACCCAGAACUGAUAAUCAAGACUUUUAGGCUGGGUGAAUAAAAAAUUGAUGCUUGGAAAAUUAAGUUAUGUGGUUUUAAAUAUUGGAGGAGUUGACAGAUAAAGACAAGGCUUGGCUUUAUUUCAAUUUGACAUGCACAGGCUUGGAGUUGGAGUUGAACCGGCGACUUCAGGAUCACAGCGUUUCAGAUGAGGAACAUCCUACAGCCCUCCGCUCUACCAACUGAGCUAUCAGGGUGUUCUCUAGUCACAAUUGCAGAAAACAUAGUGGCUGAGACAACACCCUAUGCCCACACAACUAUUGGAACCCAUAGUCAAUCAAAAGCCCAGCCCUAGCUGCAGAACAAAGCUUUGCAGUUUGUACCCAACAGUCAUUGCCAGGGACCCAGAACUGAUAAUCAAGACUUUUAGGCUGGGUGAAUAAAAAAUUGAUGGUUGGAAAAUUAAGUUAUGUGUUUUUAAAUAUUGGAGGAGUUGACAGAUAAAGACAAGGCUUGGCUUUAUUUCAAUUUGACAUGCACAGGCUUGGAGCUGGAGUUGAACCGGCGACUUCAGGAUCACAGCGUUUCAGAUGAGGAACAUCCUACAGCCGUCCGCUCUACCAACUGAGCUAUCAGGGUGUUCUCUAGUCACAAUUGCAGAAAACAUAGUGGCUGAGACAACACCCUAUGCCCACACAACUAUUGGAACCCAUAGUCAAUCAAAAGCCCAGCCCUACCUGCAGAACAAAGCUUUGCAGUUUGUACCCAACAGUCAUUGCCAGGGAACCAGAACUGAUAAUCAAGACUUUUAGGCUGGGUGAAUAAAAAAUUGAUGGUUGGAAAAUUAAGUUAUGUGGUUUUAAAUAUUGGAGGAGUUGACAGAUAAAGACAAGGCUUGGCUUUAUUUCAAUUUGACAUGCACAGGCUUGGAGCUGGAGUUGAACCGGCGACUUCAGGAUCACAGCAUUUCAGAUGAGGAACAUCCUACAGCCCUCCGCUCUACCAACUGAGCUAUCAGGGUGUUCUCUAGUCACAAUUGAAGAAAACAUAGUGGCUGAGACAACACCCUAUGCCCACACAACUAUUGGAACCCAUAGUCAAUCAAAAACCCAGCCCUACCUGCAGAACAAAGCUUUGCAGUUUGUACCCAACAGUCAUUGCCAAGGACCCAUAACUGAUAAUCAAGACUUUUAGGCUGGGUGAAUAAAAAAUUGAUGGUUGGAAAAUUAAGUUAUGUGGUUUGUGGUUUUAAAUAUUGGAGGAGUUGACAGAUAAAGACAAGGCUUGGCUUUAUUUCAAUUUGACAUGCACAGCCUUGGAGCUGGAGUUGAACCGGCGACUUCAGGAUCACAGCGUUUCAGAUGAGGAACAUCCUACAGCCCUCCGCUCUACCAACUGAGCUAUCAGGGUGUUCUCUAGUCACAAUUGCAGAAAACAUAGUGGCUGAGACAACACCCUAUGCCCACACAACUAUUGGAACCCAUAGUCAAUCAAAAGCCCAGCCCUACCUGCAGAACAAAGCUUUGCAGUUUGUACCCAACAGUCAUUGCCAGGGACCCAGAACUGAUAAUCAAGACUUUUAGGCUGGUUGAAUAAAAAAUUGAUGGUUGGAAAAUUAAGUUAUGUGGUUUUAAAUAUUGGAGGAGUUGACAGAUAAAGACAAGGCUUGGCUUUAUUUCAAUUUGACAUGCACAGGCUUGGAGCUGGAGUUGAACCGGCGACUUCAGGAUCACAGCGUUUCAGAUGAGGAACAUCCUACAGCCCUCCGCUCUACCAACUGAGCUAUCAGGGUGUUCUCUAGUCACAAUUGCAGAAAACAUAGUGGCUGAGACAACACCCUAUGCCCACACAACUAUUGGAACCCAUAGUCAAUCAAAAGCCCAGCCCUACCUGCAGAACAAAGCUUUGCAGUUUGUACCCAACAGUCAUUGCCAGGGACCCAGAACUGAUAAUCAAGACUUUUAGGCUGGUUGAAUAAAAAAUUGAUGGUUGGAAAAUUAAGUUAUGUGGUUUUAAAUAUUGGAGGAGUUGACAGAUAAAGACAAGGCUUGGCUUUAUUUCAAUUUGACAUGCACAGGCUUGGAGCUGGAGUUGAACCGGCGACUUCAGGAUCACAGCGUUUCAGAUGAGGAACAUCCUACAGCCCUCCGCUCUACCAACUGAGCUAUCAGGGUGUUCUCUAGUCACAAUUGCAGAAAACAUAGUGGCUGAGACAACACCCUAUGCCCACACAACUAUUGGAACCCAUAGUCAAUCAAAAGCCCAGCCCUACCUGCAGAACAAAGCUUUGCAGUUUGUACCCAACAGUCAUUGCCAGGGACCCAGAACUGAUAAUCAAGACUUUUAGGCUGGGUGAAUAAAAAAUUGAUGGUUGGAAAAUUAAGUUAUGUGGUUUUAAAUAUUGGAGGAGUUGACAGAUAAAGACAAGGCUUGGCUUUAUUUCAAUUUGACAUGCACAGGCUUGGAGCUGGAGUUGAACCGGCGACUUCAGGAUCACAGCGUUUCAGAUGAGGAACAUCCUACAGCCGUCCGCUCUACCAACUGAGCUAUCAGGGUAUUCUCUAGUCACAAUUGCAGAAAACAUAGUGGCUGAGACAACACCCUAUGCCCACACAACUAUUGGAACCCAUAGUCAAUCAAAAGCCCAGCCCUACCUGCAGAACAAAGCUUUGCAGUUUGUACCCAACAGUCAUUGCCAAGGACCCAUAACUGAUAAUCAAGACUUUUAGGCUGGGUGAAUAAAAAAUUGAUGGUUGGAAAAUUAAGUUAUGUGGUUUGAAAUAUUGGAGGAGUUGACAGAUAAAGACAAGGCUUGGCUUUAUUUCAAUUUGACAUGCACAGGCUUGGAGCUGGAGUUGAACCGGCGACUUCAGGAUCAGAGCGUUUCAGAUGAGGAACAUCCUACAGCCGUCCGCUCUACCAACUGAGCUAUCAGGGUGUUCUCUAGCCACAAUUGCAGAAAACAUAGUGGCUGAGACAACACCCUAUGCCCACACAACUAUUGGAACCCAUAGUCAAUCAAAAGCCCAGCCCUACCUGCAGAACAAAGCUUUGCAGCUUGUACCCAACAGUCAUUGCCAGGGACCCAGAACUGAUAAUCAAGACUUUUAGGCUGGGUGAAUAAAAAAUUGAUGGUUGGAAAAUUAAGUUAUGUGGUUUUAAAUAUUGGAGGAGUUGACAGAUAAAGACAAGGCUUGGCUUUAUUUCAAUUUGACAUGCACAGGCUUGGAGCUGGAGUUGAACCGGCGACUUCAGGAUCACAGCGUUUCAGAUGAGGAACAUCCUACAGCCCUCCGCUCUACCAACUGAGCUAUCAGGGUGUUAUCUAGUCACAAUUGCAGAAAACAUAGUGGCUGAGACAACACCCUAUGCCCACACAACUAUUGGAACCCAUAGUCAAUCAAAAGCCCAGCCCUACCUGCAGAACAAAGCUUUGCAGCUUGUACCCAACAGUCAUUGCCAGGGACCCAGAACUGAUAAUCAAGACUUUUAGGCUGGGUGAAUAAAAAACUGAUGGUUGGAAAAUUAAGUUAUGUGGUUUGUGUUUUUAAAUAUUGGAGGAGUUGACAGAUAAAGACAAGGCUUGGCUUUAUUUCAAUUUGACAUGCACAGGCUUGGAGCUGGAGUUGAACCGGCGACUUCAGGAUCACAGCGUUUCAGAUGAGGAACAUCCUACAGCCCUCCGCUCUACCAACUGAGCUAUCAGGGUGUUCUCUAGUCACAAUUGCAGAAAACAUAGUGGCUGAGACAACACCCUAUGCCCACACAACUAUUGGAACCCAUAGUCAAUCAAAAGCCCAGCCCUACCUGCAGAACAAAGCUUUGCAGUUUGUACCCAACAGUCAUUGCCAGGGACCCAGAACUGAUAAUCAAGACUUUUAGGCUGGGUGAAUAAAAAAUUGAUGGUUGGAAAAUUAAGUUAUGUGGUUUUAAAUAUUGGAGGAGUUGACAGAUAAAGACAAGGCUUGGCUUUAUUUCAAUUUGACAUGCACAGGCUUGGAGCUGGAGUUGAAACGGCGACUUCAGGAUCACAGCGUUUCAGAUGAGAAACAUCCUACAGCCCUCCGCUCUACCAACUGAGCUAUCAGGGUGUUCUCUAGUCACAAUUGCAGAAAACAUAGUGGCUGAGACAACACCCUAUGCCCACACAACUAUUGGAACCCAUAGUCAAUCAAAAGCCCAGCCCUACCUGCAGAACAAAGCUUUGCAGCUUGUACCCAACAGUCAUUGCCAGGGACCCAGAACUGAUAAUCAAGACUUUUAGGCUGGGUGAAUAAAAAAUUGAUGGUUGGAAAAUUAAGUUAUGUGGUUUGUGGUUUUAAAUAUUGGAGGAGUUGACAGAUAAAGACAAGGCUUGGCUUUAUUUCAAUUUGGCAUGCACAGGCUUGGAGCUGGAGUUGAACCGGCGACUUCAGGAUCACAGCGUUUCAGAUGAGGAACAUCCUACAGCCCUCCGCUCUACCAACUGAGCUAUCAGGGUGUUAUCUAGUCACAAUUGCAGAAAACAUAGUGGCUGAGACAACACCCUAUGCCCACACAACUAUUGGAACCCAUAGUCAAUCAAAAGCCCAGCCCUACCUGCAGAACAAAGCUUUGCAGUUUGUACCCAACAGUCAUUGCCAGGGACCCAGAACUGAUAAUCAAGACUUUUAGGCUGGGUGAAUAAAAAAAUUGAUGGUUGGAAAAUUAAGUUAUGUGUUUUUAAAUAUUGGAGGAGUUGACAGAUAAAGACAAGGCUUGGCUUUAUUUCAAUUUGACAUGCACAGGCUUGGAGCUGGAGUUGAACCGGCGACUUCAGGAUCACAGCGUUUCAGAUGAGGAACAUCCUACAGCCCUCCGCUCUACCAACUGAGCUAUCAGGGUGUUCUCUAGUCACAAUUGCAGAAAACAUAGUGGCUGAGACAACACCCUAUGCCCACACAACUAUUGGAACCCAUAGUCAAUCAAAAGCCCAGCCCUACCUGCAGAACAAAGCUUUGCAGUUUGUACCCAACAGUCAUUGCCAGGGACCCAGAACUGAUAAUCAAGACUUUUAGGCUGGGUGAAUAAAAAAUUGAUGGUUGGAAAAUUAAGUUAUGUGUUUUUAAAUAUUGGAGGAGUUGACAGAUAAAGACAAGGCUUGGCUUUAUUUCAAUUUGACAUGCACAGGCUUGGAGCUGGAGUUGAACCGGCGACUUGAGGAUCACAGCGUUUCAGAUGAGGAACAUCCUACAGCCCUCCGCUCUACCAACUGAGCUAUCAGGGUGUUCUCUAGUCACAAUUGCAGAAAACAUAGUGGCUGAGACAACACCCUAUGCCCACACAACUAUUGGAACCCAUAGUCAAUCAAAAGCCCAGCCCUACCUGCAGAACAAAGCUUUGCAGUUUGUACCCAACAGUCAUUGCCAAGGACCCAUAACUGAUAAUCAAGACUUUUAGGCUGGGUGAAUAAAAAAUUGAUGGUUGGAAAAUUAAGUUAUGUGGUUUGUGGUUUUAAAUAUUGGAGGAGUUGACAGAUAAAGACAAGGCUUGGCUUUAUUUCAAUUUGACAUGCACAGGCUUGGAGCUGGAGUUGAACCGGCGACUUCAGGAUCACAGCGUUUCAGAUGAGGAACAUCCUACAGCCGUCCGCUCUACCAACUGAGCUAUCAGGGUGUUCUCUAGUCACAAUUGCAGAAAACAUAGUGGCUGAGACAACACCCUAUGCCCACACAACUAUUGGAACCCAUAGUCAAUCAAAAGCCCAGCCCUACCUGCAGAACAAAGCUUUGCAGCUUGUACCCAACAGUCAUUGCCAGGGACCCAGAACUGAUAAUCAAGACUUUUAGGCUGGGUGAAUAAAAAAUUGAUGGUUGGAAAAUUAAGUUAUGUGGUUUUAAAUAUUGGAGGAGUUGACAGAUAAAGACAAGGCUUGGCUUUAUUUCAAUUUGACAUGCACAGGCUUGGAGCUGGAGUUGAACCGGCGACUUCAGGAUCACAGCGUUUCAGAUGAGGAACAUCCUACAGCCCUCCGCUCUACCAACUGAGCUAUCAGGGUGUUCUCUAGUCACAAUUGCAGAAAACAUAGUGGCUGAGACAACACCCUAUGCCCACACAACUAUUGGAACCCAUAGUCAAUCAAAAGCCCAGCCCUAGCUGCAGAACAAAGCUUUGCAGUUUGUACCCAACAGUCAUUGCCAGGGACCCAGAACUGAUAAUCAAGACUUUUAGGCUGGGUGAAUAAAAAAUUGAUGGUUGGAAAAUUAAGUUAUGUGUUUUUAAAUAUUGGAGGAGUUGACAGAUAAAGACAAGGCUUGGCUUUAUUUCAAUUUGACAUGCACAGGCUUGGAGCUGGAGUUGAACCGGCGACUUGAGGAUCACAGCGUUUCAGAUGAGGAACAUCCUACAGCCGUCCGCUCUACCAACUGAGCUAUCAGGGUGUUCUCUAGUCACAAUUGCAGAAAACAUAGUGGCUGAGACAACACCCUAUGCCCACACAACUAUUGGAACCCAUAGUCAAUCAAAAGCCCAGCCCUACCUGCAGAACAAAGCUUUGCAGUUUGUACCCAACAGUCAUUGCCAGGGAACCAGAACUGAUAAUCAAGACUUUUAGGCUGGGUGAAUAAAAAAUUGAUGGUUGGAAAAUUAAGUUAUGUGGUUUUAAAUAUUGGAGGAGUUGACAGAUAAAGACAAGGCUUGGCUUUAUUUCAAUUUGACAUGCACAGGCUUGGAGCUGGAGUUGAACCGGCGACUUCAGGAUCACAGCGUUUCAGAUGAGGAACAUCCUACAGCCCUCCGCUCUACCAACUGAGCUAUCAGGGUGUUCUCUAGUCACAAUUGCAGAAAACAUAGUGGCUGAGACAACACCCUAUGCCCACACAACUAUUGGAACCCAUAGUCAAUCAAAAGCCCAGCCCUACCUGCAGAACAAAGCUUUGCAGUUUGUACCCAACAGUCAUUGCCAAGGACCCAUAACUGAUAAUCAAGACUUUUAGGCUGGGUGAAUAAAAAAUUGAUGGUUGGAAAAUUAAGUUAUGUGGUUUGUGGUUUUAAAUAUUGGAGGAGUUGACAGAUAAAGACAAGGCUUGGCUUUAUUUCAAUUUGACAUGCACAGCCUUGGAGCUGGAGUUGAACCGGCGACUUCAGGAUCACAGCGUUUCAGAUGAGGAACAUCCUACAGCCCUCCGCUCUACCAACUGAGCUAUCAGGGUGUUCUCUAGUCACAAUUGCAGAAAACAUAGUGGCUGAGACAACACCCUAUGCCCACACAACUAUUGGAACCCAUAGUCAAUCAAAAGCCCAGCCCUACCUGCAGAACAAAGCUUUGCAGUUUGUACCCAACAGUCAUUGCCAGGGACCCAGAACUGAUAAUCAAGACUUUUAGGCUGGGUGAAUAAAAAAUUGAUGGUUGGAAAAUUAAGUUAUGUGGUUUUAAAUAUUGGAGGAGUUGACAGAUAAAGACAAGGCUUGGCUUUAUUUCAAUUUGACAUGCACAGGCUUGGAGCUGGAGUUGAACCGGCGACUUCAGGAUCACAGCGUUUCAGAUGAGGAACAUCCUACAGCCCUCCGCUCUACCAACUGAGCUAUCAGGGUGUUCUCUAGUCACAAUUGCAGAAAACAUAGUGGCUGAGACAACACCCUAUGCCCACACAACUAUUGGAACCCAUAGUCAAUCAAAAGCCCAGCCCUUCCUGCAGAACAAAGCUUUGCAGUUUGUACCCAACAGUCAUUGCCAGGGACCCAGAACUGAUAAUCAAGACUUUUAGGCUGGUUGAAUAAAAAAUUGAUGGUUGGAAAAUUAAGUUAUGUGGUUUUAAAUAUUGGAGGAGUUGACAGAUAAAGACAAGGCUUGGCUUUAUUUCAAUUUGACAUGCACAGGCUUGGAGCUGGAGUUGAACCGGCGACUUCAGGAUCAGAGCGUUUCAGAUGAGGAACAUCCUACAGCCGUCCGCUCUACCAACUGAGCUAUCAGGGUGUUCUCUAGCCACAAUUUCAGAAAACAUAGUGGCUGAGACAACACCCUAUGCCCACACAACUAUUGGAACCCAUAGUCAAUCAAAAGCCCAGCCCUACCUGCAGAACAAAGCUUUGCAGCUUGUACCCAACAGUCAUUGCCAGGGACCCAGAACUGAUAAUCAAGACUUUUAGGCUGGGUGAAUAAAAAAUUGAUGGUUGGAAAAUUAAGUUAUGUGGUUUUAAAUAUUGGAGGAGUUGACAGAUAAAGACAAGGCUUGGCUUUAUUUCAAUUUGACAUGCACAGGCUUGGAGCUGGAGUUGAACCGGCGACUUCAGGAUCACAGCGUUUCAGAUGAGGAACAUCCUACAGCCCUCCGCUCUACCAACUGAGCUAUCAGGGUGUUCUCUAGUCACAAUUGCAGAAAACAUAGUGGCUGAGACAACACCCUAUGCCCACACAACUAUUGGAACCCAUAGUCAAUCAAAAGCCCAGCCCUACCUGCAGAACAAAGCUUUGCAGUUUGUACCCAACAGUCAUUGCCAGGGACCCAGAACUGAUAAUCAAGACUUUUAGGCUGGGUGAAUAAAAAAUUGAUGGUUGGAAAAUUAAGUUAUGUGGUUUGUGUUUUUAAAUAUUGGAGGAGUUGACAGAUAAAGACAAGGCUUGGCUUUAUUUCAAUUUGACAUGCACAGGCUUGGAGCUGGAGUUGAACCGGCGACUUCAGGAUCACAGCGUUUCAGAUGAGGAAGAUCCUACAGCCCUCCGCUCUACCAACUGAGCUAUCAGGGUGUUCUCUAGUCACAAUUGCAGAAAACAUAGUGGCUGAGACAACACCCUAUGCCCACACAACUAUUGGAACCCAUAGUAAAUCAAAAGCCCAGCCCUACCUGCAGAACAAAGCUUUGCAGCUUGUACCCAACAGUCAUUGCCAAGGACCCAUAACUGAUAAUCAAGACUUUUAGGCUGGGUGAAUAAAAAAUUGAUGGUUGGAAAAUUAAGUUAUGUGGUUUGUGGUUUUAAAUAUUGGAGGAGUUGACAGAUAAAGACAAGGCUUGGCUUUAUUUCAAUUUGACAUGCACAGGCUUGGAGCUGGAGGUGAACCGGCGACUUGAGGAUCACAGCGUUUCAGAUGAGGAACAUCCUACAGCCCUCCGCUCUACCAACUGAGCUAUCAGGGUGUUCUGUAGUCACAAUUGCAGAAAACAUAGUGGCUGAGACAACACCCUAUGCCCACACAACUAUUGGAACCCAUAGUCAAUCAAAAGCCCAGCCCUACCUGCAGAACAAAGCUUUGCAGCUUGUACCCAACAGUCAUUGCCAGGGACCCAGAACUGAUAAUCAAGACUUUUAGGCUGGUUGAAUAAAAAAUUGAUGGUUGGAAAAUUAAGUUAUGUGGUUUUAAAUAUUGGAGGAGUUGACAGAUAAAGACAAGGCUUGGCUUUAUUUCAAUUUGACAUGCACAGGUUUGGAGCUGGAGUUGAACGGGCGACUUCAGGAUCACAGCGUUUCAGAUGAGGAACAUCCUACAGCCUUCCGCUCUACCAACUGAGCUAUCAGGGUGUUCUCUAGUCAAAAUUGCAGAAAACAUAGUGGCUGAGACAACACCCUAUGCCCACACAACUAUUGGAAUCCAUAGUCAAUCAAAAGCCCAGCCCUACCUGCAGAACAAAGCUUUGCAGCUUGUACCCAACAGUCAUUGCCAGGGACCCAGAACUGAUAAUCAAGACUUUUAGGCUGGGUGAAUAAAAAACUGAUGGUUGGAAAAUUAAGUUAUGUGGUUUGUGUUUUUAAAUAUUGGAGGAGUUGACAGAUAAAGACAAGGCUUGGCUUUAUUUCAAUUUGACAUGCACAGGCUUGGAGCUGGAGUUGAACCGGCGACUUCAGGAUCACAGCUUUUCAGAUGAGGAACAUCCUACAGCCCUUCGCUCUACCAACUGAGCUAUCAGGGUGUUCUCUAGUCACAAUUGCAGAAAACAUAGUGGCUGAGACAACACCCUAUGCCCACACAACUAUUGGAACCCAUAGUCAAUCAAAAGCCCAGCCCUACCUGCAGAACAAAGCUUUGCAGUUUGUACCCAACAGUCAUUGCCAGGGACCCAGAACUGAUAAUCAAGACUUUUAGGCUGGGUGAAUAAAAAACUGAUGGUUGGAAAAUUAACUUAUGUUGUUUGUGUUUUUAAAUAUUGGAGGAGUUGACAGAUAAAGACAAGGCUUGGCUUUAUUUCAAUUUUAACAUGCACAGGCUUGGAGCUGGAGUUGAACCGGCGACUUCAGGAUCACAGCGUUUCAGAUGAGGAACAUGUUACAGCCCUCCGCUCUACCAACUGAGCUAUCAGGGUGUUCUCUAGUCACAAUCGCAGAAAACAUAGUGGCUGAGACAACACCCUAUGCCCACACAACUAUUGGAACCCAUAGUCAAUCAAAAGCCCAGCCCUACCUGCAGAACAAAGCUUUGCAGUUUGUACCCAACAGUCAUUGUCAGGGACCCAGAACUGAUAAUCAAGACUUUUAGGCUGGGUGAAUAAAAAAUUGAUGGUUGGAAAAUUAAGUUAUGUGGUUUGUGGUUUUAAAUAUUGGAGGAGUUGACAGAUAAAGACAAGGCUUGGCUUUAUUUCAAUUUGACAUGCACAGGCUUGGAGCUGGAGUUGAACCGGCGACUUCAGGAUCACAGCGUUUCAGAUGAGGAACAUCCUACAGCCCUCCGCUCUACCAACUGAGCUAUCAGGGUGUUCUCUAGUCACAAUUGCAGAAAACAUAGUGGCUGAGACAACACCCUAUGCCCACACAACUAUUGGAACCCAUAGUCAAUCAAAAGCCCAGCCCUACCUGCAGAACAAAGCUUUGCAGUUUGUACCCAACAGUCAUUGCCAGGGACCCAGAACUGAUAAUCAAGACUUUUAGGCUGGGUGAAUAAAAAAUUGAUGGUUGGAAAAUUAAGUUAUGUGGUUUUAAAUAUUGGAGGAGUUGACAGAUAAAGACAAGGCUUGGCUUUAUUUCAAUUUGACAUGAACAGGCUUGGAGCUGGAGUUGAACCGGCGACUUCAGGAUCACAGCGUUUCAGAUGAGGAACAUCCUACAGGCCUCCGCUCUACCAACUGAGCUAUCAGGGUGUUCUCUAGUCAAAAUUGCAGAAAACAUAGUGGCUGAGACAACACCCUAUGCCCACACAACUAUUGGAAUCCAUAGUCAAUCAAAAGCCCAGCCCUACCUGCAGAACAAAGCUUUGCAGCUUGUACCCAACAGUCAUUGCCAGGGACCCAGAACUGAUAAUCAAGACUUUUAGGCUGGGUGAAUAAAAAACUGAUGCUUGGAAAAUUAAGUUAUGUGGUAAAUAUUGGAGGAGUUGACAGAUAAAGACAAGGCUUGGCUUUAUUUCAAUUUGACAUGCACAGGCUUGGAGCUGGAGUUGAACCGGCGACUUCAGGAUCACAGCGUUUCAGAUGAGGAACAUCCUACAGCCCUCCGCUCUACCAACUGAGCUAUGAGGGUGUUCUCUAGUCACAAUUGCAGAAAACAUAGUGGCUGAGACAACACCCUAUGCCCACACAACUAUUGGAACCCAUAGUCAAUCAAAAGCCCAGCCCUACCUGCAGAACAAAGCUUUGCAGUUUGUACCCAACAGUCAUUGCCAAGGACCCAUAACUGAUAAUCAAGACUUUUAGGCUGGGUGAAUAAAAAAUUGAUGGUUGGAAAAUUAAGUUAUGUGGUUUUAAAUAUUGGAGGAGUUGACAGAUAAAGACAAGGCUUGGCUUUAUUUCAAUUUGACAUGCACAGGCUUGGAGCUGGAGUUGAACCGGCGACUUUAGGAUCACAGCGUUUCAGAUGAGGAACAUCCUACAGCCCUCCGCUCUACCAACUGAGCUAUCAGGGUGUUCUCUAGUCACAAUUGCAGAAAACAUAGUGGCUGAGACAACACCCUAUGCCCACACAACUAUUGGAACCCAUAGUCAAUCAAAAGCCCAGCCCUACCUGCAGAACAAAGCUUUGCAGUUUGUACCCAACAGUCAUUGCCAGGGACCCAGAACUGAUAAUCAAGACUUUUAGGCUGGGUGAAUAAAAAACUGAUGGUUGGAAAAUUAACUUAUGUUGUUUGUGUUUUUAAAUAUUGGAGGAGUUGACAGAUAAAGACAAGGCUUGGCUUUAUUUCAAUUUUAACAUGCACAGGCUUGGAGCUGGAGUUGAACCGGCGACUUCAGGAUCACAGCGUUUCAGAUGAGGAACAUGUUACAGCCCUCCGCUCUACCAACUGAGCUAUCAGGGUGUUCUCUAGUCACAAUCGCAGAAAACAUAGUGGCUGAGACAACACCCUAUGCCCACACAACUAUUGGAACCCAUAGUCAAUCAAAAGCCCAGCCCUACCUGCAGAACAAAGCUUUGCAGUUUGUACCCAACAGUCAUUGUCAGGGACCCAGAACUGAUAAUCAAGACUUUUAGGCUGGGUGAAUAAAAAAUUGAUGGUUGGAAAAUUAAGUUAUGUGGUUUGUGGUUUUAAAUAUUGGAGGAGUUGACAGAUAAAGACAAGGCUUGGCUUUAUUUCAAUUUGACAUGCACAGGCUUGGAGCUGGAGUUGAACCGGCGACUUCAGGAUCACAGCGUUUCAGAUGAGGAACAUCCUACAGCCCUCCGCUCUACCAACUGAGCUAUCAGGGUGUUCUCUAGUCACAAUUGCAGAAAACAUAGUGGCUGAGACAACACCCUAUGCCCACACAACUAUUGGAACCCAUAGUCAAUCAAAAGCCCAGCCCUACCUGCAGAACAAAGCUUUGCAGUUUGUACCCAACAGUCAUUGCCAGGGACCCAGAACUGAUAAUCAAGACUUUUAGGCUGGGUGAAUAAAAAAUUGAUGGUUGGAAAAUUAAGUUAUGUGGUUUUAAAUAUUGGAGGAGUUGACAGAUAAAGACAAGGCUUGGCUUUAUUUCAAUUUGACAUGCACAGGCUUGGAGCUGGAGUUGAACCGGCGACUUCAGGAUCACAGCGUUUCAGAUGAGGAACAUCCUACAGCCCUCCGCUCUACCAACUGAGCUAUCAGGGUGUUCUCUAGUCACAAUUGCAGAAAACAUAGUGGCUGAGACAACACCCUAUGCCCACACAACUAUUGGAACCCAUAGUCAAUCAAAAGCCCAGCCCUACCUGCAGAACAAAGCUUUGCAGCUUGUACCCAACAGUCAUUGCCAGGGACCCAGAACUGAUAAUCAAGACUUUUAGGCUGGGUGAAUAAAAACUGAUGGUUGGAAAAUUAAGUUAUGUGGUUUGUGUUUUUAAAUAUUGGAGGAGUUGACAGAUAAAGACAAGGCUUGGCUUUAUUUCAAUUUGACAUGCACAGGCUUGGAGCUGGAGUUGAACCGGCGACUUCAGGAUCACAGCGUUUCAGAUGAGGAACAUCCUACAGCCCUCCGCUCUACCAACUGAGCUAUCAGGGUGUUCUCUAGUCACAAUUGCAGAAAACAUAGUGGCUGAGACAACACCCUAUGCCCACACAACUAUUGGAACCCAUAGUCAAUCAAAAGCCCAGCCCUACCUGCAGAACAAAGCUUUGCAGUUUGUACCCAACAGUCAUUGCCAGGGACCCAGAACUGAUAAUCAAGACUUUUAGGCUGGUUGAAUAAAAAAUUGAUGGUUGGAAAAUUAAGUUAUGUGGUUUGUGGUUUUAAAUAUUGGAGGAGUUGACAGAUAAAGACAAGGCUUGGCUUUAUUUCAAUUUGACAUGCACAGGCUUGGAGCUGGAGUUGAACCGGCGACUUCAGGAUCACAGCGUUUCAGAUGAGGAACAUCCUACAGCCCUCCGCUCUACCAACUGAGCUAUCAGGGUGUUCUCUAGUCACAAUUGCAGAAAACAUAGUGGCUGAGACAACACCCUAUGCCCACACAACUAUUGGAACCCAUAGUCAAUCAAAAGCCCAGCCCUACCUGCAGAACAAAGCUUUGCAGUUUGUACCCAACAGUCAUUGCCAGGGACCCAGAACUGAUAAUCAAGACUUUUAGGCUGGGUGAAUAAAAAAUUGAUGGUUGGAAAAUUAAGUUAUGUGGUUUUAAAUAUUGGAGGAGUUGACAGAUAAAGACAAGGCUUGGCUUUAUUUCAAUUUGACAUGCACAGGCUUGGAGCUGGAGUUGAACCGGCGACUUCAGGAUCACAGCGUUUCAGAUGAGGAACAUCCUACAGCCCUCCGCUCUACCAACUGAGCUAUCAGGGUGUUCUCUAGUCACAAUUGCAGAAAACAUAGUGGCUGAGACAACACCCUAUGCCCACACAACUAUUGGAACCCAUAGUCAAUCAAAAGCCCAGCCCUACCUGCAGAACAAAGCUUUGCAGUUUGUACCCAACAGUCAUUGCCAGGGACCCAGAACUGAUAAUCAAGACUUUUAGGCUGGGUGAAUAAAAAAUUGAUGGUUGGAAAAUUAAGUUAUGUGGUUUGAAAUAUUGGAGGAGUUGACAGAUAAAGACAAGGCUUGGCUUUAUUUCAAUUUGACAUGCACAGGCUUGGAGCUGGAGUUGAACCGGCGACUUCAGGAUCACAGCGUUUCAGAUGAGGAACAUCCUACAGCCCUCCGCUCUACCAACUGAGCUAUCAGGGUGUUCUCUAGUCACAAUUGCAGAAAACAUAGUGGCUGAGACAACACCCUAUGCCCACACAACUAUUGGAACCCAUAGUCAAUCAAAAGCCCAGCCCUACCUGCAGAACAAAGCUUUGCAGCUUGUACCCAACAGUCAUUGCCAGGGACCCAGAACUGAUAAUCAAGACUUUUAGGCUGGGUGAAUAAAAAAUUGAUGGUUGGAAAAUUAAGUUAUGGGUUUGUGGUUUUAAAUAUUGGAGGAGUUGACAGAUAAAGACAAGGCUUGGCUUUAUUUCAAUUUGACAUGCACAGGCUUGGAGCUGGAGUUGAACCGGCGACUUCAGGAUCACAGCGUUUCAGAUGAGGAACAUCCUACAGCCCUCCGCUCUACCAACUGAGCUAUCAGGGUGUUCUCUAGUCACAAUUGCAGAAAACAUAGUGGCUGAGACAACACCCUAUGCCCACACAACUAUUGGAACCCAUAGUCAAUCAAAAGCCCAGCCCUACCUGCAGAACAAAGCUUUGCAGUUUGUACCCAACAGUCAUUGCCAGGGACCCAGAACUGAUAAUCAAGACUUUUAGGCUGGGUGAAUAAAAAAUUGAUGGUUGGAAAAUUAAGUUAUGUGGUUUGUGUUUUUAAAUAUUGGAGGAGUUGACAGAUAAAGACAAGGCUUGGCUUUAUUUCAAUUUGACAUGCACAGGCUUGGAGCUGGAGUUGAACCGGCGACUUCAGGAUCACAGCGUUUCAGAUGAGGAACAUCCUACAGCCCUCCGCUCUACCAACUGAGCUAUCAGGGUGUUCUCUAGUCACAAUUGCAGAAAACAUAGUGGCUGAGACAACACCCUAUGCCCACACAACUAUUGGAACCCAUAGUCAAUCAAAAGCCCAGCCCUACCUGCAGAACAAAGCUUUGCAGUUUGUACCCAACAGUCAUUGCCAGGGACCCAGAACUGAUAAUCAAGACUUUUAGGCUGGGUGAAUAAAAAAUUGAUGGUUGGAAAAUUAAGUUAUGUGGUUUGUGUUUUUAAAUAUUGGAGGAGUUGACAGAUAAAGACAAGGCUUGGCUUUAUUUCAAUUUGACAUGCACAGGCUUGGAGCUGGAGUUGAACCGGCGACUUCAGGAUCACAGCGUUUCAGAUGAGGAACAUCCUACAGCCCUCCGCUCUACCAACUGAGCUAUCAGGGUGUUCUCUAGUCACAAUUGCAGAAAACAUAGUGGCUGAGACAACACCCUAUGCCCACACAACUAUUGGAACCCAUAGUCAAUCAAAAGCCCAGCCCUACCUGCAGAACAAAGCUUUGCAGCUUUGUACCCAACAGUCAUUGCCAGGGACCCAGAACUGAUAAUCAAGACUUUUAGGCUGGGUGAAUAAAAAAUUGAUGGUUGGAAAAUUAAGUUAUGUGGUUUGUGUUUUUAAAUAUUGGAGGAGUUGACAGAUAAAGACAAGGCUUGGCUUUAUUUCAAUUUGACAUGCACAGGCUUGGAGCUGGAGUUGAACCGGCGACUUGAGGAUCACAGCGUUUCAGAUGAGGAACAUCCUACAGCCCUCCGCUCUACCAACUGAGCUAUCAGGGUGUUCUCUAGUCACAAUUGCAGAAAACAUAGUGGCUGAGACAACACCCUAUGCCCACACAACUAUUGGAACCCAUAGUCAAUCAAAAGCCCAGCCCUACCUGCAGAACAAAGCUUUGCAGCUUGUACCCAACAGUCAUUGCCAGGGACCCAGAACUGAUAAUCAAGACUUUUAGGCUGGUUGAAUAAAAAAUUGAUGGUUGGAAAAUUAAGUUAUGUGGUUUUAAAUAUUGGAGGAGUUGACAGAUAAAGACAAGGCUUGGCUUUAUUUCAAUUUGACAUGCACAGGCUUGGAGCUGGAGUUGAACCGGCGACUUCAGGAUCACAGCGUUUCAGAUGAGGAACAUCCUACAGCCUCCGCUCUACCAACUGAGCUAUCAGGGUGUUCUCUAGUCACAAUUGCAGAAAACAUAGUGGCUGAGACAACACCCUAUGCCCACACAACUAUUGGAACCCAUAGUCAAUCAAAAGCCCAGCCCUACCUGCAGAACAAAGCUUUGCAGUUUGUACCCAACAGUCAUUGCCAGGGACCCAGAACUGAUAAUCAAGACUUUUAGGCUGGGUGAAUAAAAAAUUGAUGGUUGGAAAAUUAAGUUAUGUGGUUUGAAAUAUUGGAGGAGUUGACAGAUAAAGACAAGGCUUGGCUUUAUUUCAAUUUGACAUGCACAGGCUUGGAGCUGGAGUUGAACCGGCGACUUCAGGAUCACAGCGUUUCAGAUGAGGAACAUCCUACAGCCCUCCGCUCUACCAACUGAGCUAUCAGGGUGUUCUCUAGUCACAAUUGCAGAAAACAUAGUGGCUGAGACAACACCCUAUGCCCACACAACUAUUGGAACCCAUAGUCAAUCAAAAGCCCAGCCCUACCUGCAGAACAAAGCUUUGCAGUUUGUACCCAACAGUCAUUGCCAGGGACCCAGAACUGAUAAUCAAGACUUUUAGGCUGGGUGAAUAAAAAAUUGAUGGUUGGAAAAUUAAGUUAUGUGGUUUGUGUUUUAAAUAUUGGAGGAGUUGACAGAUAAAGACAAGGCUUGGCUUUAUUUCAAUUUGACAUGCACAGGCUUGGAGCUGGAGUUGAACCGGCGACUUCAGGAUCACAGCGUUUCAGAUGAGGAACAUCCUACAGCCCUCCGCUCUACCAACUGAGCUAUCAGGGUGUUCUCUAGUCACAAUUGCAGAAAACAUAGUGGCUGAGACAACACCCUAUGCCCACACAACUAUUGGAACCCAUAGUCAAUCAAAAGCCCAGCCCUACCUGCAGAACAAAGCUUUGCAGUUUGUACCCAACAGUCAUUGCCAGGGACCCAGAACUGAUAAUCAAGACUUUUAGGCUGGGUGAAUAAAAAAUUGAUGGUUGGAAAAUUAAGUUAUGUGGUUUGUGGUUUUAAAUAUUGGAGGAGUUGACAGAUAAAGACAAGGCUUGGCUUUAUUUCAAUUUGACAUGCACAGGCUUGGAGCUGGAGUUGAACCGGCGACUUCAGGAUCACAGCGUUUCAGAUGAGGAACAUCCUACAGCCCUCCGCUCUACCAACUGAGCUAUCAGGGUGUUCUCUAGUCACAAUUGCAGAAAACAUAGUGGCUGAGACAACACCCUAUGCCCACACAACUAUUGGAACCCAUAGUCAAUCAAAAGCCCAGCCCUACCUGCAGAACAAAGCUUUGCAGUUUGUACCCAACAGUCAUUGCCAGGGACCCAGAACUGAUAAUCAAGACUUUUAGGCUGGGUGAAUAAAAAAUUGAUGGUUGGAAAAUUAAGUUAUGUGGUUUGUGUUUUUAAAUAUUGGAGGAGUUGACAGAUAAAGACAAGGCUUGGCUUUAUUUCAAUUUGACAUGCACAGGCUUGGAGCUGGAGUUGAACCGGCGACUUCAGGAUCACAGCGUUUCAGAUGAGGAACAUCCUACAGCCCUCCGCUCUACCAACUGAGCUAUCAGGGUGUUCUCUAGUCACAAUUGCAGAAAACAUAGUGGCUGAGACAACACCCUAUGCCCACACAACUAUUGGAACCCAUAGUCAAUCAAAAGCCCAGCCCUACCUGCAGAACAAAGCUUUGCAGCUUGUACCCAACAGUCAUUGCCAGGGACCCAGAACUGAUAAUCAAGACUUUUAGGCUGGGUGAAUAAAAAAUUGAUGGUUGGAAAAUUAAGUUAUGUGGUUUGUGUUUUUAAAUAUUGGAGGAGUUGACAGAUAAAGACAAGGCUUGGCUUUAUUUCAAUUUGACAUGCACAGGCUUGGAGCUGGAGUUGAACCGGCGACUUCAGGAUCACAGCGUUUCAGAUGAGGAACAUCCUACAGCCCUCCGCUCUACCAACUGAGCUAUCAGGGUGUUCUCUAGUCACAAUUGCAGAAAACAUAGUGGCUGAGACAACACCCUAUGCCCACACAACUAUUGGAAACCAUAGUCAAUCAAAAGCCCAGCCCUACCUGCAGAACAAAGCUUUGCAGUUUGUACCCAACAGUCAUUGCCAGGGACCCAGAACUGAUAAUCAAGACUUUUAGGCUGGGUGAAUAAAAAACUGAUGGUUGGAAAAUUAAGUUAUGUGGUUUUAAAUAUUGGAGGAGUUGACAGAUAAAGACAAGGCUUGGCUUUAUUUCAAUUUGACAUGCACAGGUUUGGAGCUGGAGUUGAACCGGCGACUUCAGGAUCACAGCGUUUCAGAUGAGGAACAUCCUACAGGCCUCCGCUCUACCAACUGAGCUAUCAGGGUGUUCUCUAGUCAAAAUUGCAGAAAACAUAGUGGCUGAGACAACACCCUAUGCCCACACAACUAUUGGAAUCCAUAGUCAAUCAAAAGCCCAGCCCUACCUGCAGAACAAAGCUUUGCAGCUUGUACCCAACAGUCAUUGCCAGGGACCCAGAACUGAUAAUCAAGACUUUUAGGCUGGGUGAAUAAAAAACUGAUGCUUGGAAAAUUAAGUUAUGUGGUUUGUGUUUUUAAAUAUUGGAGGAGUUGACAGAUAAAGACAAGGCUUGGCUUUAUUUCAAUUUGACAUGCACAGGCUUGGAGCUGGAGUUGAACCGGCGACUUCAGGAUCACAGCGUUUCAGAUGAGGAACAUCCUACAGCCCUCCGCUCUACCAACUGAGCUAUGAGGGUGUUCUCUAGUCACAAUUGCAGAAAACAUAGUGGCUGAGACAACACCCUAUGCCCACACAACUAUUGGAACCCAUAGUCAAUCAAAAGCCCAGCCCUACCUGCAGAACAAAGCUUUGCAGUUUGUACCCAACAGUCAUUGCCAAGGACCCAGAACUGAUAAUCAAGACUUUUAGGCUGGGUGAAUAAAAAAUUGAUGGUUGGAAAAUUAAGUUAUGUGGUUUGUGGUUUUAAAUAUUGGAGGAGUUGACAGAUAAAGACAAGGCUUGGCUUUAUUUCAAUUUGACAUGCACAGGCUUGGAGCUGGAGUUGAACCGGCGACUUCAGGAUCACAGCGUUUCAGAUGAGGAACAUCCUACAGCCCUCCGCUCUACCAACUGAGCUAUCAGGGUGUUCUCCAGUCACAAUUGCAGAAAACAUAGUGGCUGAGACAACACCCUAUGCCCACACAACUAUUGGAACCCAUAGUCAAUCAAAAGCCCAGCCCUACCUGCAGAACAAAGCUUUGCAGCUUGUACCCAACAGUCAUUGCCAGGGACCCAGAACUGAUAAUCAAGACUUUUAGGCUGGUUGAAUAAAAAAUUGAUGGUUGGAAAAUUAAGUUAUGUGGUUUUAAAUAUUGGAGGAGUUGACAGAUAAAGACAAGGCUUGGCUUUAUUUCAAUUUGACAUGCACAGGCUUGGAGCUGGAGUUGAACCGGCGACUUCAGGAUCACAGCGUUUCAGAUGAGGAACAUCCUACAGCCCUCCGCUCUACCAACUGAGCUAUCAGGGUGUUCUCUAGUCACAAUUGCAGAAAACAUAGUGGCUGAGACAACACCCUAUGCCCACACAACUAUUGGAACCCAUAGUCAAUCAAAAGCCCAGCCCUACCUGCAGAACAAAGCUUUGCAGUUUGUACCCAACAGUCAUUGCCAGGGACCCAGAACUGAUAAUCAAGACUUUUAGGCUGGUUGAAUAAAAAAUUGAUGGUUGGAAAAUUAAGUUAUGUGGUUUGUGUUUUAAAUAUUGGAGGAGUUGACAGAUAAAGACAAGGCUUGGCUUUAUUUCAAUUUGACAUGCACAGGCUUGGAGCUGGAGUUGAACCGGCGACUUCAGGAUCACAGCGUUUCAGAUGAGGAACAUCCUACAGCCCUCCGCUCUACCAACUGAGCUAUCAGGGUGUUCUCUAGUCACAAUUGCAGAAAACAUAGUGGCUGAGACAACACCCUAUGCCCACACAACUAUUGGAACCCAUAGUCAAUCAAAAGCCCAGCCCUACCUGCAGAACAAAGCUUUGCAGUUUGUACCCAACAGUCAUUGCCAGGGACCCAGAACUGAUAAUCAAGACUUUUAGGCUGGGUGAAUAAAAAAUUGAUGGUUGGAAAAUUAAGUUAUGUGGUUUGUGUUUUUAAAUAUUGGAGGAGUUGACAGAUAAAGACAAGGCUUGGCUUUAUUUCAAUUUGACAUGCAGAGGCUUGGAGCUGGAGUUGAACCGGCGACUUCAGGAUCACAGCGUUUCAGAUGAGGAACAUCCUACAGCCCUCCGCUCUACCAACUGAGCUAUCAGGGUGUUCUCUAGUCACAAUUGCAGAAAACAUAGUGGCUGAGACAACACCCUAUGCCCACACAACUAUUGGAACCCAUAGUCAAUCAAAAGCCCAGCCCUACCUGCAGAACAAAGCUUUGCAGUUUGUACCCAACAGUCAUUGCCAGGGACCCAGAACUGAUAAUCAAGACUUUUAGGCUGGGUGAAUAAAAAAUUGAUGGUUGGAAAAUUAAGUUAUGUGGUUUGUGUUUUAAAUAUUGGAGGAGUUGACAGAUAAAGACAAGGCUUGGCUUUAUUUCAAUUUGACAUGCACAGGCUUGGAGCUGGAGUUGAACCGGCGACUUCAGGAUCACAGCGUUUCAGAUGAGGAACAUCCUACAGCCCUCCGCUCUACCAACUGAGCUAUCAGGGUGUUCUCUAGUCACAAUUGCAGAAAACAUAGUGGCUGAGACAACACCCUAUGCCCACACAACUAUUGGAACCCAUAGUCAAUCAAAAGCCCAGCCCUACCUGCAGAACAAAGCUUUGCAGCUUGUACCCAACAGUCAUUGCCAGGGACCCAGAACUGAUAAUCAAGACUUUUAGGCUGGGUGAAUAAAAAACUGAUGGUUGGAAAAUUAAGUUAUGUGGUUUGUGUUUUUAAAUAUUGGAGGAGUUGACAGAUAAAGACAAGGCUUGGCUUUAUUUCAAUUUGACAUGCACAGGCUUGGAGCUGGAGUUGAACCGGCGACUUCAGGAUCACAGCGUUUCAGAUGAGGAACAUCCUACAGCCCUCCGCUCUACCAACUGAGCUAUCAGGGUGUUCUAUAGUCACAAUUGCAGAAAACAUAGUGGCUGAGACAACACCCUAUGCCCACACAACUAUUGGAACCCAUAGUCAAUCAAAAGCCCAGCCCUACCUGCAGAACAAAGCUUUGCAGUUUGUACCCAACAGUCAUUGCCAAGGACCCAGAACUGAUAAUCAAGACUUUUAGGCUGGGUGAAUAAAAAAUUGAUGGUUGGAAAAUUAAGUUAUGUGGUUUGUGGUUUUAAAUAUUGGAGGAGUUGACAGAUAAAGACAAGGCUUGGCUUUAUUUCAAUUUGACAUGCACAGGCUUGGAGCUGGAGUUGAACCGGCGAAUUCAGGAUCACAGCAUUUCAGAUGAGGAACAUCCUACAGCCCUCCGCUCUACCAACUGAGCUAUCAGGGUGUUCUCUAGUCACAAUUGCAGAAAACAUAGUGGCUGAGACAACACCCUAUGCCCACACAACUAUUGGAACCCAUAGUCAAUCAAAAGCCCAGCCCUACCUGCAGAACAAAGCUUUGCAGCUUGUACCCAACAGUCAUUGCCAGGGACCCAGAACUGAUAAUCAAGACUUUUAGGCUGGUUGAAUAAAAAAUUGAUGGUUGGAAAAUUAAGUUAUGUGGUUUGUGUUUUUAAAUAUUGGAGGAGUUGACAGAUAAAGACAAGGCUUGGCUUUAUUUCAAUUUGACAUGCACAGGCUUGGAGCUGGAGUUGAACCGGCGACUUCAGGAUCACAGCGUUUCAGAUGAGGAACAUCCUACAGCCCUCCGCUCUACCAACUGAGCUAUCAGGGUGUUCUCUAGUCACAAUUGCAGAAAACAUAGUGGCUGAGACAACACCCUAUGCCCACACAACUAUUGGAACCCAUAGUCAAUCAAAAGCCCAGCCCUACCUGCAGAACAAAGC